UUUACUUAAUGUAUAAACUUAUUAAAAGGAUAAAAAAUUUAACGAUAUAAAUGAAUCAUUUAUAACAACAACAAAAAUACACCUAACUAUGAUUGAAACAUUCACUUCAACUGAACAAAAAACUUCAUUACUUAUGAGUGUUAAGAAGUUUUUUUUUUUUUUUUUUUUUUUGGGAUAAGCCCAACGCAUGUUCAACCUAGGAAUUGAAUUGGGGUUUGAGCUUUGGCAUCCAUAAUGCCAAAAGGAGAAGUAAAAAAAAUUAUUUUGACUUGAGUGGGUUGUUCGGCAGAAGAGAGAGAAUAUGUUAGAAAAGGGUAUAAUUGAGUUUUGUUUUUAAAAAUAUAUUUUAACUUGAGUGGGUUGUUCGGUUGAAGGGUAUAAUUGAGUUUUGUUUUAUUUUGAAUUGGUGAUGUGGUGUGCUAUAUGUAUUUUGGGCUUAAAAAAAUUAAAAAUCGCAUGGACUAUGGUUCGUCACUUACAUUUUUUAAUCUCAAUGAUUAGAUCUCGAGAGUAUAUGUACAAUUUAAUCUUCAAAGUUGACUUGUUGUUAGAAGAAUUUUGUUUUUAUGACAUUAGCAAUUUAAACGGGAAAUAAACAAAAUAUAUAAAUUUUAUGAAAACAAUUUAGAACUUCAAAGAGGCUUAGAAAAAUUUUCAAAACGUUAAUAAAAUUUAUAAAAAUACCAAAAACCUCACGAGAUGUUAAUAGAAAUAUAUCUUUCAGAAAUCCCUUCAAUUUUCCUCCCCCUGUUCUUUUCUUCUUGCUAAUUUUCCCUCUGUAUUUUAAAACUCUUUCCCACUGACAACGCUGAAACGUAUCCCGAAUUUCUCUCCAAUCUUUGUCCGCUUUCUCAACAAGCAUUUUUCGACCUGUCAACGCAACGGUACUGCUACACCUCAGAGUCGUCUUGCACAUGCAUCGAAUUUACGAUAUUAGACUCUGCAUCUCCACCCACAAAACAUGCACCUCUUAUCCCACAAAACCCAAAUCUGACCAGUGGCAGUUCCGUACUUUCAACAAAAGUCCACGUCACUCUGCCCGCCUUAUAAAUACCGUCACUAAAUUUCACAAUCUUCUUCGCUGCUCUUUAUGUUGUUUCAGUCUGAGCUCGCAAGCCAUUUCCGAUUGACAAUUUCCCGAGAAAAUCACAUUUUCCGGUAAAGUAUUAUCUCGGAAAAUCUUCUAUUUUCUGAGAAUUUGCAUUCUAAUUUCCGUUUGUCUUUGAUUUUGACCUUCUUUUUUUUUUUUUUUUUUUUUUUUGUGUUUUCUUUUUAUUGGAUGGCAAGGAAGAAGGUCGGGAAGCUCGCGAAGCUUGAGAAAUUCGAAAAUGGCUCCUCCAAUCCUUUCCUUGGUUCUGCCCUCCGAGACUGGUCGAGUUCUGAGUAUUCAAUCUCAUACAGUCCAGGUAUUGGCGGUUUUGUUUGUGUUUGGUCACUGAGAAAACUGAAGGAAAAAAAAACAUGCCAAACUUGAAUCUUAAAUUUCCUCUACAAGUUAAAAUAUUGAAUGUAUCCUUUCUGUAUGAAUGAAUUCCAGUAUUGAAUUUGAUGUGAUUUUUUAUGGCAUUAAUGGUAUUUGUGUGAUAGUGGAAUGAUAAAUUGUGUGCUUAUUUGACUGGUACUUCAAGGUAAAGUUAGUGAAAACAGAUACACAUUUUGUGUGUGUGCGAAACUUAUUUAGGAUUUGUAUGGCAUAUUAGAUUGUGAUGAACUAUGGAUAAUAUGUCUACCCCAAAUUGGAGUUGUUGGAUUUCUCAUAAGUAAGCAAAAAUACGUUAUACGGUCUGUCCCGUGUUCUAAAUAGCUUACUAGAUUUUGAGGCAGGUAAAAGUCCAACAACAACGUUUCAAGAGAAGAACCAAAACUGCCAUAAACUCUUAUUCUCAUAUCAAACUUUCAUACUACUUGAUACAACUGAAGAAACACAGGUCCUCCUAAUGUUCAUCCCCCAAAUUAAAUGCUAAUAUGUGAACCUAAAUUACAAUUAAUCCAUCUUUAUCUCUUCGACUCUCAAUUCAUUUAACCACAUUCAAAAUGUAAUUACUUAUCUACUCAAUUAAGGAAACGUCUAUAUUACUCUCAACAGAUUUGCUGUGUUUUUUGAAUUGGCCUUUAGUCCAUAUGAAAGCUAUAUGUAUGUGACGUAUAAAUUAUUGUGCUAGUACCUAUAUUUUUGAACGGAUAUGCGCCAUCAUUAGACCUAACAUCCAUAUAUUUUCUCUUUGUUGUGAUUUUCUGGGAAGGGACAUGACAUCAACUCAUUUUCCUUCUUUUGCUAAUGAUACAGGCAAUUUGUCUGUUUCGUGCCACCAAGUUCUGCCCUUGACAUGUCCUGAAAUAUAAUGAUUAUGUGAUUCCAAAUUCCAAAUUUGUCUGUAUCGUGUCCCUUCCCUUAUUUUCUCACCUUCCUUGAAGUGUAUGAGCCAUAAUUGCCUGCCCUGUGCAUCUUUCCUGGUCCUAAUUUAAGUUGGGCCUUGUUGUUUUCAUGAGUAAAUAUGAAUAUGAUUUGAGAGUGGGUCAGGGAUAUCUACCUGUACUUUGUAGAUUAUGUUUUAACCUUACAUCAUUCCUGGUCUUUUACUUAUGGUUAGGGAUAUGUGGGGAAUAAGUCAGCUGUAUUUCCCUUGCAACUAUUAGGCUAUGAUGUGGAUCCAAUUAAUUCAGUCCAGUUCUCAAACCACACAGGCAAGCUGCUUCUACUUCCUUCAAACAGUCUCAGAAUUUUGAGGCCUGAUAUGCGGCGUGAUGCCAUCUGUGAACCUGUAUAAAGUCAAGCAUGAUGUCUUAGUUUUAAUGGAGGUAACAUCCUGAUUCAAUAUACCUGAAAACAUUUGCAGGAUACCCAACUUUUAAGGGUCAAGUUUUGAAUGGACAACAGCUAUGGGAAUUGAUAGAAGGCCUUGAAGAAAAUGAUUUAUUAUACUACACUCAUUUAUUAACAGGUAUAUUAAAUUAUUCAUGGAUUGGUUUUGAAGAUCUGGUCCUGUAUAACAUGGUAACUAUUAAGUGAAUGUGUUAUUCUGACUUUUUGCCAUUGGAAGAAACAAAGAAGACAGAAAAAAUAAAGAAGGGUAAAGCUGAAUGCUUAGGAAUAGGACUGGUGGUUGCAACGUUGGUGCUAAGCAAAUCAAUAGAUCUAUGCAUGAAUAUAGCACAAUCUAGACCUAUAUCACACAGAUUAAAAUUACAUAAAACAUGCUUUCCAAAAGUCUGAAAGAAAUCAUUCUUAUAGAUAUUAAUGAAAUAAAGCAGCCAAUAAUUCCUUUUAUACCUUUCUAUUGUCACCAGUUCACUUAGCCUCAUUCUUUCUUUGGUUCUUUGAUUUUUUUGGUUGUAUUUUUAGAAAAAAAAAUUGAUGCCAUUGUCAUGAAGUUAAUCAGAUUCAACUUCUUUGUCCUGUCUUUUCUUUUCCCCAUCUUCUGCGUUAUAAUAUGCUUUGGAGACUUCAAAACAGUUAUUGGUGUGAUUUCCUUGUUUGGGAGGGCUUAUGCAACUGUUCUGACCUCUGAGUUGACGAUGGAAAGAGGUUACAUUUUAUUUAAAACACUUCUAUAAAAUAAAAUAAAAACUUUAAAUUGGGGAAAGCAUCGUAAAAUCUUUGAUAUCUUCUUAUAGUACUACCUUUACUUUCCUUUGAAGUGUAUGUGGCUUUGAUCUAGUUGAUUUUUGUGCAGGUUAUAUUGGUUCAGUUUCGUUUUUGAGCACUAUAUUGGAGGUUGUCAAUAAACUUCGCUCUGUAAACCCAAAACUUAAAUAUGGUGAGUGGAUCAUGAAUAUUUCAGAAGUCCUUGCCAUCAUCAAAUAUGUAUACUAAUCCUUUGUAUAGCUGCGGUAUUUUUAUUUUGUUGGGGCACCUGAAAAUGUUAAUCUAACUUACUAGCGCUUCUCCUUCACACUUUCGUUGUUGUAUCUGUUUGGUUAACUUGAUACAUAUGGAUUAUUAUUUGCUUUGCUUGGUCGUACAUGUUAUAAGAUGCAAGAAUGCAAAAUAACUGGUGAAUGGCCAUAUGUUUUAAUUAGAACAUUGCUAAAAUUGUAAAAAUUCAAGAUUCUGUUGUAACUGUUAUAUGUUGCUAGAACGAAAAUGUAAUUUUUUUUAAUGGGGCCAUAAAGAUAAAUUCUUCUUGCUGACUUUGAUAAGAUUAUUUAAGUCAAUUUACUAGUGAAUUUUGAGAUCUUACAAACUUAUCUUGUAUAUUAAAGUUAUUGGCUUAAAAAUUGUAGUAACCAUCAUGUCAAGAGAGGGACAUAAUAGGAAUAUAUUUGGAAAGCAGAGUUGUGGAACAUAUGGCGUAGAGUAAGCCCUUUUUGUUCUUUCACUCAUGAGUGGAUGCCUUGCAAUCUGUCAUGAUCAUUUUGAGUAUGAGGGCAACAGUUGAAUUCUGCAGAUUUGUGGCUCCAUGGAAUGUGAUUGUUCAUCUUCUUCUCUAUAGAAAAAAAUAAACUAAUGUAUUUUUGGGUCAUAUGCAUUUUUCAUCUUUGUUAUGAUAUAAUUCUUGCUAUCCUUUACUUGCCCAGUCUGUGAUCCAGUGAUGGGUGAUGAAGGAAAGCUCUAUGUCCCUCCAGAAUUGGUAUCAGUAUAUCGAGAGAAGGUAAGCAAUAUGACUUGUCUAUGGGUGCAUCAUGGAAGCAUAUCUAUCAUAUUCUUUGCAUAUACAAGGGUGGAGAAGAUUUUUAAUUAUUAGCAUGUUAGUAGUUUGACAACUGCUCAAACUUGAAUUUAUGUCAAACCAACAUCUGUAUGUUUGUGUUGGAUACAAAUCGACUUUCCUAAGAAUUUAAUCUUGAAUUUUUUCCUUUCCUGUAAUUUUCUUGAUACAAGAAGUAUUGAUGUUGGUAUAGUAGCUUGAUAAUGAAAUUGAUUUAAUAGCUAUUUCUGGUAAUGCAUUUUAUAUAAGGUUGUCCCAGUAGCUUCAAUGUUGACUCCCAACCAGUUUGAAGCAGAACUCUUGACUAACUUGAGGUAAUUUCUUAUGCCACAGUAUAAUGAUAAUCAACAUUGCCCCUUGUAGUUAAACAGCAUCUGGUUUUUCUUGUGGUGCAUUUGCUUUUUUCCCAUUUAGGGCCAAUAAAUGAAACUUUAGACAAGUAAAAGUUAAAAACCUUACUUUUGAGUCCUUUUUACAAAUAACAGGUGAAAUCUUAUGCUGUAACAGGAUUGAGUCUGAAAAGGAUGGUCGUGAAGCUUGUAACAUUCUUCAUGCUGCCGGACCGCCAAUGGUACUAUUAUUUAGUAAUGUUUUUAAUUUUUUUAUAUUUCACUGUACAAGUCCUGAAAUGCUUGUAUUCGUGUUAAUAUGACAGAUUUUGUUAUGGUCUUGUUUUGUUUCUCUCCCUAAUCUCUGUAUCCUGAAAAACUAUCAUUGAUUCAUUGGUUAUGUUUUCAUUUUGGGAUUUUGGGAUUUUGGGUUCUGGAUAAAUUUUUGUAUCAAUAGUGAGCCACUGUUAUUUGGUAUCUGAUUGAGUUGCAAGUUGGUUAGGUGAAUUAUUUUUAUUUGUUUAGAGAUAGAGAUAAAGAAAAUCCAGUGCUGCCACUUCAAGAGGCUUUCGAUUUCUGGUUAAUACUGGUGUAGAGCAUUUAUUCAGAAUCACAAAGCAUGCGUGGGCACAUUUGGUAUGUCAAAGCAAAUAAUUAAAUCUGUUAAUGAUAUAAGAGUUUUGGUAUUUCCAAACUAAUUCAUGUACCUUAGUUAAUAUAGGAGCCCAUACAAACUUUCCUAGUGAAUAUCAGCUUUGCUUCUCUAUUCUCUCCUUUUCUUUGUUGAGUCUUUGUUGUUUUAAAUUAUCCUUUAUCCUUACCCUCUGCAUUUUAUACAGUAAAUCUUUUAUAGUUAAUUACUGAAUAUUCACUGUACUGAUCCUGAUAUUCACUUGUUGUGUAUCCUAUUAUUUUUUCAAUCAAAUUGAAGCCGAAUUUGGGGGGUAUAGAAUUACUUGAUUGUGCACUUCUAGUUAAUGUUAGAUCUGUCUCUGUCCCUGCCUGUCUCUCAGUUUCAUAUUUUAAUGCAUAAAUUUGAUCUAUCUCAGGUUGUGACUACAAGCAUAAAUAUAGAUGGUAAUCUUUCGUAAUUGGUAUUCAUUAGAGGGUACUUGCUUGGUGUACAUGUGGAAACUUGUUUGUGCGUUUCUAUUUAAUGUUACCUGUUUUGCUUGUUGUACACGUGGAAACUUGUUUGUGCGGUUCUAUUUAAUGUUGCCUCUCUCUCUCUCUCUCUCUCUCUCUCCUCUCUCUUCUCUCUCUCAUAUUAUAAUGUUAGUUUGAUAUAUUGUAGGUUGUGCUUACAAGCAUAAAUAUCAAUGGUAAUCUUUUUCUAAUUGGUAGCCAUCAAAAGGAAAAGGUGAGUUCUUGUCUACGAAUGAAAUUACACCUAAGGUUUGGGAUUUUUUAGUUGGGCUUAAAAGUUGGUCAUUCCAGUGUUUAAAAAAAAUAUAUGUUCUUUAAGAAUUUCAAAAUGUGGUCACUGUUUUGGGAGCUUUUAUUGCUGUAAUACAUUUUACUUGUCAGAUUAUGCUUCUUAUUUGAAUGCUUAGUUAGAUAUGACAUUGUUGUGCCCUUUAUUAUGUAUUCUUCCACAGAAAAAAAGGAAGUUUGAUUCUUUUCUUGCAUGCCAAAAGCUUCUAAAUGGUCUGUUUUUUGUACAAAUUUUUGUGCUGACCUUUAAUGAUUCCUGCCAAAAGCAAAAACCUUUUAUGAUUUUUCCCUAAUGAAAUAAAUUUAGACUUUAUUAUAGUUUAUGGCAAGAUUUCUUUUGACAAUGUGCUUUACACAAUUUUUACUUUAAUUAUGUGAUAGGGUCUGUCUCCUGAGCAAUUCAAGAUUGUGAUUCCUAAAAUUCCUGCAUAUUUCACGGUAUGAAAAUUUCCUCUUUAAUUUUUAUCAGCAAAGCUGUAUUCAUAGUUCUACUAGCACACAACAAGGAAUAUCCUUUACACUGUACUGUUGAAUACUGCAAUGAACUGAUGUUAAAAUAUAUAUAUAUUUUUUUUGUUUGUUAGUUCUAUGUCCCCUAAUUUUAUCUUUUUGCUAGUUUGAACCAUUUAUGAAGAUGUUACUUUAUAAUUAUACAACAGCAUAUUAGAAAAUAACCUGCCCUAUUAGCCUUGUUUUCUGAUCCAUGGUUUUGACAGUGUGACUUUCUAAUCCCUUAAUCGGAUUGUAUGCAGUCAGUUAAAUGUUACCUUUCCAAUUAAAUAUACCCAGUCAACUACUUCAUUAAUGGACACCUGGAUGGCAUCUCAUUUGAAGAAAAAAAGGAUUUCUAAAGGCUGCUGAUUUCAUGUUUAGAGCAUAUUGUUAACCAUCUUUUUUGAACUCUUAGGAGAAACUCAUGUUUUUCUUUGACUUUUCCCAUUCUUAUUUUACUGGAUAAAAAUCAGGAGACGUAGUGCCAAUUCCCAUACUGUAUUUAUGUUUAAAUUAACUCAAGAUUUUUGGGGUUUUACUUGGAGAGAAACAGACAGGGAGGGACAAUUAAUUUAUGUGGCCAAAACCAAAAAGACACAAGGGAUUCCUUCUUCAUAGUUUAUACUGACUUCAUGAUGGAUUUGAUUUACUAUCUUACCUUACCUUAUAGGAUUGAUGACUUAAUUAUCCUAAUUUAAUAGCUUUGGAUAUGUAGUUGGGGACCCUGGGGUAAGAUCAAUUGACACUGGCAUUAAACUUGCGAGUUUUACUUUUUAUAAGAUUCCUUCUUUACUAAUUCAAAAAUUGGAUUUAAUGUUGUGGUCCACACAAUUUUUAUUGUUUAUCAAAUCUCUGAUAAGCAAGUACUCCGUCAAGGUUCUUCUAUUCAUAACAUAAAUAUGUAUAAAGAAAAUACUAAUUCUAAACAAUAUGGAUGGAAUAGUUAGAGAUACUGGAUCAACUUGAAAGUUGAGCUGCAUGGUGAGCAUAGUUAAAGCAUCAAGUUGAAAGAUUUGAUUACCAAAAAGAAUCGUAUAUAUGUAUAUAUGCCGGCGUCAAUUGAUCCUGUUAUCUAGUUUAUAUGGUAAAACCAGUUGUAUGAUUGACAAAUAUGUGCAUGAACUUGUAGGGAACAGGAGAUCUUACAACUGCACUUCUACUUGGGUGGAGCAAUGUAAUUCCUUUAAACUAUGUUUUGGCUUUGAUUCAACUCCUGAGCCCUUCUUUCCAAUAUAGUUCUAUAUCUAUAAAUGGUUGUUCUUUCUACCCAGAAAUAUCCUGACAACCUGGACAAGGCAGCCGAGCUUGCUGUAUCAUCCUUGCAGGUAUUCCGUCCCUCCCCCACCACUUUUCUUGUUUCUUUAAUUGCUAGUGUUCUUUCAUAUAUAAGUAUUUCUGAAUGAUGUAAAGUUCUUUUGAAUUCCACCUUGGACUAAGUAGGAGUACAAAACAUAUAAAGGUACGACAUAUCAAUAUAUAAAGAGCAUAACAGCAUUAUGGUAUAUUUUCUGAAUACUAUUUUUGCAUAGUGUUUGUUAAAGAAGAGUCACGAUAUAUUUAUAGAAACAUUUUAGUGGAAAUUAUUUAUUCUAUGAUAUGUCAUUACAUGUCCUGCUGGCUGCUACUAGGUAUUGUGUUACACGCGACAUAUACACGGUAGUUGUAAGUGAUAUGCCUGAUAAGCUAGAUAAAUAGAUACCUCAUGGAAAUUAACAAUUCUUAGAAAGAAAGAAAAAAAAAAAAAAUAUUCCGCAUGUGAUAGGACCCAGCGAUCUCAAACUUAACUCUAUGCUUAUACAGGAAACCAAUCUUGAUAUUAUUGUAACAAAAUCCAAAAUACAAGCCGUCUUGCUUUGCACAACUAAUCAGUAUUUAUACUGACUUGCAAACUAAGACUUAGUUAAACCAACUCACUGAAUAAUUCUCCACUAAUAACCAAUACAUCUAACAACAUGACACGUGUGCCACUAAUAACAUGCCAACUUAUAGGACUCUAUCAGCAUGAGUAGCAAUUUUUCUUUUGUGAAGUUACCUGAACUUGGUCAUUAUUUAAUUUGAUUUACCCUAGUAAGGAUCAAGUUUUGGAGGCCUGUGUGGGUGAAUACAACUAGAAUAGAAUGAUAGUUGCAGGCCCUGCUGGUUAAUAGUUGAUACAAUCUGGAUGUAUUUCCCUUGCUUAUUCCACCUGGUGGCAAAAGAAACUUUUACACGAAUUUAUUGUCUCUGGUUUAACCUUAUCACCGAUCCCUUUAUGUGAGCCAUGGUUGGCUGAUUCUGUGUUUACAAUCAAUACUUACAGGCCCUUCUACAGAGGACAAUUAACGACUACAAAAGUGCCGGCCAUGAUCCCAAGUCAAGCAGUUUAGAGAUUCGAUUAAUCCAAAGUCAGAACGACAUUCGUAACCCCGAAAUUAAAUUCAGAGCCGAAAGAUACACUUAAAAUGGUUGAUAUGUACGGGACAUGGUAUAUGUAAUUUACCAUGAUCGUUUGAAAACUGUUACCCAAUGCUAUCACCAUGAAAGUUGGAUACAUUUUCUUUUCUUUCGAAAUAUGCACAUGGAUAUAGGCAGAGAUGUAGCCAACUGACAGAUGCUCAUCUUUUUUGUUCCAUAGUUGUUAGGGCUUCUGGUUUUGAUACUUUUGGUGGGGCAACAAUUUGGACAAAUUUACUGCUCUUGGGGUAUCCGUAUUAAGGAUUGUUAAUUUUUUUUUUUGGGCGGGAAAAAAAAAAUUGCCAGUCAGUUGAAGUGAAAAGUAAACUCCACGUUUAAGUGACUUUUGACGCACAAACAUGUGGAUUUUAUUAACAUGAAAAAUUAUAUUUACAUAUUUAAGUCGAUUUUUGACACCCUUCUCUCUCUCACUGUGACUUUGAUUGGGUUGCCAUCUCCCUUCAACACCAACCCAAUCUGUUAUAUAUAUAUAUAUAUAUAUUUUUUUUUUUUUUAUUAUAAAUAUUUUUGUUUAAAACUUAUGCAAGAAAUUUUCUAAUUAUCUCCUAAAUUUAAGAAAAAAAAAUUCAGGAGCAUUAGUACAAUACAUGUUCUAAUUUGAGGACAUCAUAAUCUAUUAUUGGAAUUUAAGGGAAAAAAUACAAAUCAGGGUAUAAUUGAGUAACCAUUGCCACAAUUUAGCCUUAAAAAGUAUUUAAAAACUCUGUUUUUUUGUGUGGGUAUUAAUAUGAUGAAAAAGGUGCACCUAUAAUAUCCUUAUUUUAAAAAAAUAGAGGUAUUUAAUUAUAUACAUAUUCUUAGCAUUAGUGAUAUAAAUAAACCCUAUACAAUUUAAUUUCUAUAAACAAGUCCACACAAAAAUAACUGGCCUUAUUGAAUUUAAUUUUAAUUAUUAAAUUAUGUUGAGAGUUUUGGAUUUUUUUAAUGAGAUUUUGGAGUUGGGUUUGUUUUAAGAAAUCUAUGAUAGUUUUGUAAUUUAUAGAAAGUUCGAAGCCUUUUUGUUAUGUUAUAAAUGGACUUUGGGUGUGUUUUUAAAAUCCAUUUUAUAUAGAAUUUUUUUAAUAUAUAAUUUGAACCCCUAUAUUGGGCAUAAUAGUGAAACUCCCAAAAAAAUAUGUAUAAUAUCUUGACUUUAACAUUACUCCCUGAACCCUCUUUUAAUGAACCAUAACCAUAACCAUAACCAAUUAUUAUCACCGUCAAUUUUACAUUGUGAUCGAACCCGCAUGACAUUUUGAUAGUGUGUGUGUGUGUGAGAAACUCUUUCCCACCCUAUCUCUUGCAUUCAUAACAAUUUAAGAAUAAUUUAUGUAGAUAUAAUUUAAUUUAGAAAUGAUUUAGCUAUUUGAUUAUCACAAUAAUCAUUUCUAUGUUGAUAUGAACUAAUGUAUUUGUCUAUUUAUUUGAUGAUAAUCGAAAAACCAAAAUGAUUCUAGGUUUGUUGGCUUUUCAAAAAACAAAUUUAUUUUAAAAAUGAUGCUAUAGUGUAAAUACAAAUGAGUAUUGGGGCCAUUUUUUCAGGCCGCCAAUGGAAGAGGCCUCUGGACGCUUCACAUUACUCAUACUCGUAGUUCUUCUAACAAAACCCAUAGCCAUAAUUUUCAAAUCAAACAGAAUAAACUUGUCUUUCUAACUUUUGUUAAAAUGGAUGCUGAAAUGGCGAUGGAGCUUGUGAAGCAUGGCCUAACGCUUCUCUUCCUCGACGUUCCUCAGCACACUCUCAUCGGCAUUGAUACUCAGGUAAACUACUACCAACCCAGCCACACAUGCUUAUGCUCUGUUUUGUUGCCCAGAAAUUUCAAAAGAAAAUGGAAACGAAGAAAAUUUGGAUUUCUGUCUAUAAAUUAACACUUGAACACUUGGUUCGCUGUAUCUUCAGAUGUUUUCAGUUGGCCCUGACUUUAAAGGCAUAAAGAUGAUUCCUCCUGGUCCUCACUUUGUGUACUAUAGCUCAUCCACCAGGUUACCUCUUCUUGCUCAUUAUGUGUUUGUUGAAUGUCGGCAGAGAAUAGACUGACUAGUUGCUCUUCAUUUACUAUUGAAUUUUAAUUGUUUUAUGGGUGCUUCUAUUUUGUAUUUUUUAAAAAAUAUGUUUGGCUAUUUUUGGGUACACAGAGAUGGCAAGGAAUUCUCACCAAUUAUUGGGUUUUUUGUUGAUGCUGGACCAUCUGAGGUUAGUAACCAGUCUUUUAUUAUUACUUUAGUGGCCACUGGCUUAUUGGGUUUAACAUGUUACAGUAAGUUGUUUGUGGCAUGAUAUCAAGGCAUGUGAGCCAGACUGACCUUUCUGAUGUAACAGGUAAUUGUUCGCAAGUGGGAUCAACAAGAGGAACGAUUAGUCAAAGUACCAGAAGAAGAGGUUGGUAUUCAUGUUGAUUGUAUCAUUGUCUUACUCGGGGAGUCACAUUUUUCAAAAUAUGGAAUCAAAGUGAUUCACAAUGUUUGAAACUUUAGAUUGAAUUUUGUAACCUCAAUCUCAAAUAAGCUUCGUAAAUCUUAACUGCUAAGUAGUUAGAAAAUAUGGUCAAUAUCUUUUCAGGACAAUCACAGUUUAUCUUUUAUUUAUUAUCUUGCAACUUUAAUUAUUUUUUUUGGUCCAAUUUUAUUGUAUUAGUGAGCUCUUACAUUAUAAAGGGAGCAAGAGGGAAUUUGAGAAUUUUUUUCCCAAACAUAUUCUAUGGUCGAACAGAGCACAGUAGUGAUUUUCUCUGUUCAGUUUAGUAUUUUGAUUUCACAUAUGUAUCAUUUUUGUGCCAUCAGGAAGAGAGAUAUUGCCAAGCAGUUCGAAGUUUGGAGUUUGAUAGACAUCUUGGUCCUUAUAAUCUAAGCCAGUACGGAGAUUGGAAACAGCUAUCCAAUUACAUUACGAAGAGCAUCAUUCAACGGAUUGGUAAGCUUUAUUCACAACUUCAAAGGCGUAUGUUCACAAUUAUCUUAGAUUUUUCUAUCAGGAGUUUGUUCAGUAUCAUUGCUUGACUUUUGUGGAACGAAUAGAUUUUAUGCUUCAACUGCUGCCAUUUGCUUCUCUCUCUCUCUCAAUUCUCACAUUUAAAUUUGAUGAUCUUCAGACCCACAAUGUUUGUAUGUUUAAUUUUACUUUACUUUUUUUUUUUUUUUUAAUGCAUAGGAACCCACAUUGUUUGUCUGAGUAUUUUAUCUUGUUAUAACAUACAAUGGGCACUUGCUAUCAAGGAUGAAAAUAUUGGCGAUACAGAUAGUAUCAGGCCUUCAAUUUACGGAUAUUUAGGGGGAUAUAUAGAUGUCGUUUUAGGUAUUGAGGAAAAUCGACAAAAAAGAUAGAUAUUGGCAUAAAAAAUUAAGUGAAACUUUCAUAGGUAUUAAGUACAUUAUCAAUGAAUGUAUUGAACAAAUAAAAUUCAACAUAUACUAAGUAUAAGAUAUGCAUAAGAUGAAAUGUACGUGUAUAUAAUGCGCGAUAAAAAGCCUGAAAAUAAAAUUUUGAUUACAAUGAUAAAAUAAAAUCCAUUGACACAAUAGAUACAUACCCCAAACAAAAUAAACACAAGCAGGCUUAACACAACAAACAUGCAGACCAACCCAUUAAAACAUAACCCAACCCAACCCAUUACUUUCAAAAUGAAGACAAAUUUCUGGGUUAUUUGUCUAGUAUUGGUAAAUAUCGGGAUAGCAGGGUUAUCAGGGAUAUAUCGCUGAUAAGGGGGGAAGAAAUAGGCUUACCCCCUUUUAUCUGUAUUGACACCUUAAAAAAGGGAUAUAUCGUCCGAUAUUUUCAUCCUUGCAUUCUAUACAAUUAUGUAAUAGACAUUAAAAGAAUAAUUUUUCAUUUGCUUAAGGAAAGUUCUCAAAGGCAGACUUGGUGGGAACCUUAAUUUUCCACAAAAUACUUGUUAUGGUUUUAUGUGCGUUAAAGUUAGAUGUUGGUGCAUCUGCUCCUUGUUAGGAGUUCAUAUGAUAUUACUGCUGUGAGCUUGUAGACAUGAUGGAAUAGUUAACGACCAACAUUAAAAUCUAGUGGUAUCGUGAGGUUUAAAUACUUCUAAGAUAUCCCUAUUUAGCUUUUCCUUCUAAUUUCUGCAUAAGGAUGGAUAUAAUUAUUCAUGUUGAUACUUCUAGCCUGGUACCUACCAACACAAUAUAAUACGGAAUUUUUUUUGAAAUAAAUUCUUCUAAGAAUAAGACUGCAUGGAACUCUUAACAGGAAAAUUCUUACAGGAGAAGUUAUAUUUAUAGUGGCUACUUGGAACUCUACAUUUUGAUAUUUCUUGGAUACUUUUAUUUAUGUUGUUAAGGACUGCUUCAGAUGAAUUUUAUCCAAUAUAAGAUUCAUUCUUUUUAUCCCAAACAACCUUUGAAUUUUAAUUGACUUGUACAGAACCCAUUGGAGGAGAAAUUACUGUUGCAUCUGAAUCUACAAUGCAUGUAAACACUCCUAGCACAAUGAUGGAGAAAGCUCUAGAUGAGCAGUUGAAUGCUAGUAGGUGCUCAACACCCAGUGACAAGUCUCAGACGAGAGGAUGUUACUACACAUCAAUUCCCCGUGUUACCAAACGAAAGGGAAUCCAUGGCCAACAACUUACUUCUUUGAAUCUUGACAAGGUAAGAACCCCUUCCCUCCUCUUUUAAGUUGUUCAGUUUUCUCUAAUGUUUUAAAUUAACUGAUUUGACUAUAUACUUUCACUAAUAUUUUUUUUUUCCUUCUUUUUUGUGGUCCGACUUUCACUGAUCUGUUUAGACACAGUUAGUAGAAAGUGUACUACUAGAAGAUUAUGGAGGUUCUGAGGACUUGCUUCUCGCAGAGCUGCAAUUUGCCUAUAUUGCAUUUUUGGUGUGUAAACAAUGCAGACUCCGACGGCAUUUUAUGUUAAAAAAUCAUCUGAGAUCUUUAUGAUAUUUUGAACUUAUGCAGAUGGGGCAAUCACUUGAAGCAUUUCUACAGUGGAAAUCCUUGGUCAGUCUUUUAUUUGGAUGCACUGAAGCUGUAAGUGUUGGUUUGAUUGCCUUGUUUCACUUAUUAUUGGGAUUUGUUCACUCUACCGAGUUUGUAUACUUUUAUUUCCUUUUUCCACAUUGUACAUCUGAAUUUAAAAUUAAACUCCCCACUUAUACAUUCUGUCCCUUACUAUUAAAGUAUAAACAUGUGAUUGAUAUGUUUGCAUUAAAUUUGUACCUCAUGAGUGUCAACUUAUGGUUGUAAUCUACUUUACAAAAGUAAGCAACCCUUUCCCAAAUCAGUAUAUACAGUCAUUUGAAUAUGAAUACAGGGAACUUUUUACUUUUGACCUUUGAUGGCAGCUCAUUUGCAUGUUUAUGCGAUAUAAUGUUUUCUCGAAAGUUUUUUUUUAACAGAUAAUAUGGUAAUCUUAAUAAUUCUAAAUCUUCAGAAGAUUAUUGUCAACAAUCACUCUAUUUAAUUUAUGUGCUAAGAUUUCAGACAUUAUAGAUUCACCAGCUUAAAGCUUUGGCACCAUAGAUUCACUAGAUUUUCAGUUUUACACAACAGAUCCUACCCAGUCUCUCAUUAAUUAUCUUUGGGUUGACUAGUGUUCUACUGGUACUAGCAUUAACAUUUCUUACGACUGCGCAAUUGUCAAAUUUGUACCAGACUAUAGACAUAAUCCGUCUUAAUAAGUCUCUAGUUACUAAAAUCUCUGCUGGAUUAAAGUGAGGCGUGUGGUCCGGUGGAGACAGUUGGGAGUAGCCUGGUAGGGAUCCUAAAGAAGCUUUAGACCUAGAGCUGAGGUUUUUUAUUAUAAUGUUGACCAACCUCUUGAUGUUUUGAGAAAACAAUUUCUUGAGUCCCUCACUGCAUAUCUUUGAGUUAAAUACUUAGAAUGAAGCUUUUUUUCCUAAUGAUGCUUGCUUCAUAGGUAGUUGAUACUGAAAUACACGAAAUCUGAAAUACUUUCUGACAAAAGUCUAAUCUGCCAUUAAUGCAGCCUUUCCAUACAAGAAGUCGGCUAUUUGCAAAGGUAAUGUCCAGAAUUGUCCCACUUAUAACUAAACUUUCUUGCAGUAUAAUAUAACUAUGAAGUCGCGUUCAUGGUGAUCUGGGAUACAGUUAUGUAAUUGAAAGUCUAGAUUCCAUUUAGCCUAUUUUGGGAUAUGUACUAGCGUUUCAGAAAGCUUUACAUAUUAUUUUUUUUGCAUGGUUGUGCUCAAAAUGUGUCAGUUGUUGCCUUGGUUUAUCAACCUUCAUGUCUUUUCUGUGUGGUGCUUUAUUAUUCCAGUACAAAACAGAGACAAUGUUCAACAUUUAAUCAUCCUGGUUUGAUAUUUGAUUUGUCUUUCGUAAUAUUUAUGACCUUUUACGCACCCAUUCUCCUGUCGAAUUAUUUGUCUCUUCUAAGGUGUUGAAUAAGUUUUUACAUAUCUUUUUUUGGGUCUGAAAAGCUUUUACAUAUCAGACAUUGUCAAACUAUUGGCUAGUUUAUAUUUAUUGUAAUAGAAUGUUUGUGUUUCUCAUAAAAAGGAAAAGGAAAAAGAAUUCUAGGUUGAUCGUGUUUUCUUUCCUGAGAGAGUAACACGUUUAAACUGAUUUCGUUUUCCAUUAAACUUGCACUGAACAGUACUUGCCUUUUUAUUUAUUUAUUUUUUCCAUUUCAUUUGCAUUGAUAAAUGACAUGUCAUGGGAAUCUCACAGUUUAUUAGAGUCAUCUACUAUCAAUUGAAACAAGGACUUCAGAAAGAUUGCACAGACACGAACAGUGGAUCAACCUUGCUAGAUGAUUCAUGGUUUUCUGCUGAUAGUUUUUUGCACCGUCUUUUCAAGGUACGAGAUUUGGGUGCUUCAUUCUGCUGCUGCUGUUUUUUUUUUUUUCGUAUUACACUGCCGUGCUUGAUUCAUUUUUUUCUUGUCGGUUCUGUUGUCAUUCAGUUUGUUUUUUCUAUCAAAUAGAAAAUCAACAGAAAAGUAUCAUUUAGUCAUCUUUCUCACAUCCAUGGAACUUUCUGUUCAUUGCAACUUGAUGACUAACCUAUAAAUGGGAUUCCAGGAUUUUUUUUUGCUGGUGCAAGAUGCCUCAGUUGUUGAUGGAGAUCUUCUAUCAUGGGUAUGCACUCUAAGCCUGAAUUUUCAUGAAUUUCUUUUUCCUAUCAGGCAAAAGUAGACAUCUGGAUUCUACUGAUAUGCUCUCUUUCUUAUUAUUUCUGCGGUUCUUGUUUUCAUCAGAUUUUUACUUCACAGUUGCCAUUGUAUUUAUCAUGAUAUGAAUGUGCAAACACACGCACGGAGAAGCCUUUAUUUUGUUGCUUUAAACAUGGAAUGUAAUAUUAUAAUAAGGUAGUUCACUUUUUACAUAUGUUAAACACUGACUCUUUAGCAAACAAGUGCAUAUUAACUCAAAACCAUUUUAUUGGGGCAAGGGUGGGUUGAAGAUGGAUGGAAGAAAGAAAAAUAAAUUUAUAUACUUUAGGCAUGGGCACAAGGUUAGAAUUUAGGUUAUUGUUGUUUUGUUUUUAUUUGUCGGAACUAAAAUGUAGUUGAUGGUUAUUGAUUUAAUUCCAUCUAUAGAAUUUAUAGCAUAUUGUUGGAAUAUUUAUAAUGUUUUUAGGGACUGGGUUACCUAAUAUAAAUUUGUCUCACUUCGAUUAUGUUGAGUUUACCCUAAUUUUCUCUCGCUGCCCUCGUUAUACUAAUCCUUCCUUUAGCCCUUUUGAUGUGUUUUUCAUUUAAAUGGAGUCCUGACUUGAUUUCUGAUCCUUUACUUUGUUGCUAUUGCAUUGCCAUUGCUCUGCAUACGAAGCAUUUCUUGUCAAGUCAUCUCUUUUUGUAUUUGUUUCCAAAACUUUGCUUCUUAUGAGAGAUGGUAGCUCAUCUGUGUGCUUCGUUGUCGUCACUUUUCCUGUUGCAUUUCAUAUGAAAACUUGGUCUGUGUACUAGAAUUGGAAAAGUAAUACAAGAUAUCUAUGUCUAAAUUCAUUAAAGAACCCUUCGAGCUUAAAUUACUACCAGUACUCGUCUCUUUUUCGGCUAAUCAUGUUGACAAAUCCUCAUUUGCAUGGUUCUCAUUCUUAAAGACAAGGAAACUCAAGGAGUUGCUUGAAAACAAUCUUGGAUGGGAAUUCCAGCAAAACAGUGCAGUUGAUGGGAUGUACUUUGAAGAUGAUGACGAGGUCGGUAUUUAUUUAUUUAUUUAAAUUGAACUGUGCUCACUUUCCCCACUUUAUUUUUUUAUUUUCUCUCACAACCCCUAACACUCGACAUUUGCAGUUCGCUCCUGUGGUUGAGAUGCUGGAUGACCCGAGUUCUAGUGUGGCGCCAUCGGUUUAACACUUAAAUCUCUCAUUCUCCUCUCAUUCUCUACCAUUUAACAUCUACAAUUCAAUCAUGUGGUUUAGAUGUUGGAUGACCUGGGUUGUAGUGAAACGCCAGCAGGUUACAACGUUGGUCAUCUAUGGUAGGCUUUAUGUCAUAACCAGUGUGUGAUCAGUAUAAAAUCAUUGCACCCAGAAGACCUUUUUUUUCAAGUAUGUGUAACCUUGUAUAGUGAUGCUAUACAAAAUACAGCACUGCUGUAAACUUUCCUUGCUAAUUUUAGACAGAUGGGACAAUUCCCUUGAAAUGCUCGGUGAAAGGUCUAAUUAUUUGAGAUUCAGUUUCUGAAUCUUCAUUUACUAAUCUUAUUAUAUAAAGCUAAUGGAUCUCAAAUGCAAUGACUUACAUAAAAAGGAACCAAAAGAAAUAUGUAAAAACAAAAAAGUGGCAUUAUAGCUCUGUUAGAAUGUGGGGCAUUAACCUUUAGGGGGCCGUUUUGUUAUGGCAGACUGUUAUGGAUUGCACUAAAUAUUGAGACUGUCUUGAAUUGGCUUGAUCCGUCAAAAAAAUUUUUUUUGGUCAACCAUGCAUUAGAUUCCAAGCCAAAAGGCAACUACAAGGAAAUAUAUAGAAAACAAUAUCUUAGACAAACUACAGAAGCACUUUCAUCUGAAUCACUACAAUCCAGCAAAAGAAGGAAAACUCCUACUCUAAAAACCAAAAUUAAGGACCUGGAAGACCAUCAGACACCAAAACAUGUAUGAGAGAGCGGUGGUUGAGUAACCCAACUCCACUGCUCGACAACCUAUCGUUGCAGCCUCACGAGCUGCUCAAUUUUGAACUCCUCUGAACCCAAUGCCAAAAAACUCUUUUGAACUGAUCAGCUAUGCGCCAGAUAACCUCAAUAGAAGGCCUAAUAGUCCAGGCACGGUUCCUUAUAUCCCCCUUGAUCUUGUCCACAAGGGUCUUUGAGUCAGUUUCCACGUAGACAUCAUUAUAGCCAAGAUUGGCCGCAGACUCUAGCCCCAUGACUACUGCUUCUGCCUCCACCUCAAGAGCAGAGUGACCCACCGGUGAUGCAACCAAGCAGCCUAGAAACUCCCCAGUUAAAAUCGAAUUACCACUCCAACACCAGUUUUUCUUGCAUUGCUUUGCCAACUCCCUUUCGUGGAUAAUACUUGUACUGCGUUGGUGUAUGUUUGAUUGGAUUAUGACUAAAUUUUUUUGUAAAUAUUUUUUUUGAAAAGUAAGUUUUUUUUUUUUUUUGGUGUGAAAAGUAAGUUUUUAAAAUAUGUUUUUGACUUUUCUUCUCUCUCUCUCUCUUCCCUCUUCUUCCUCGCUGAUUCUCUUUCAUCUUCUUCUUCUCUACAAAUCUAUUUCAUCAUCUUCUUCUCUCUAUCAUCUCUCCUCUUCUUCUGUCUACUUUUCUCUUUAUUUUGUUUCGAAAAUUUUCUCUUCACUUUCUCUCUUAUUCCUCUUCUGUUCUGUCUUCUCCUUCUUUUAUUUUUCUAAAAUUUUCCCUUCUUUCUCUACUUUUAUGUCUUCUCCUUCUCUUUUUUUUUGAAAAUUUUAUCUUCUCUCUUUUCUUCUCUCCUCUUUGUCUAUUCCUUCUUGGGUGGUUGUGGCUGGUGGUGGUGGUUGGUAGUUGUGUCUGGUGGUUGUGGCUGCCACUUGGGGGGUCGAUAGAUGUGGAGAGCUUGGGUGGGGUUGGUUGCGCGUCGCUUGGGUCAGGACGGUUAGUUCCUCCUCCCCAGAUGGGUUUCACUAAGAACUCCUAAGAAGAUGUUUUUCGUGGGACCUGUAUUAAUUAAUCCCACUUAAAAUUAAAACUGGGUGAAACAAGCGUGGGAUAAAAUCUUAGCCAAGCCAGUCCAUGUCAGAAUGGUGUAACAAACAAGCCCAAGAAUAAUUAGGCAGUGAUCAAAACCAACCCUAGGGCAAUGCAUCACCUAUGUGUCUGGCCAUAUGUUAAUCCACUUCAUGUCUAAUCACCAUAUUCAGACUGCUCACUUGUAUUAGUGUAUCAAUAAUGUUUUUAGAAUGUAUACAAAACAAGUGGCAUUAGCUCUGUAUUAAUAAUGAAUGAAAUCAAAGAAUGUACAUCAAAUUACAUACAAAUUUAGGAUAAUGAAGUAUUACACCAAAUUGUUAGAGACGCUUACAAACAAGCAUAUACAAAAUUCUAACUUAAGAAUCAAGCUAAGCAGCACCAAUUAUAGGGAAAGCCGAUGGCUUUUGGCAAACAGCGGUUCGAUUUGGAAUGACAGGUCUUGAAUCCCAAAGGAAGAAUCUGCUGCUCAGAAGGCGACGAAGACACCGAAGAGAGUUCCUUUACUGGAUCCAGAUUAGUCACAAAUGGAUGAUUCAAUAGCUUAGCAGCAGUGAACCUCUCAGAAGGGCUCCACACAAAGCACUUUCCCAAGAAAUCUUUAGCCUCUUCUGAUAACCAAACAGGAAUAGUGGGAGAUUUUGAAGCAAUCUGAAGCAUUAGGUCCCAAGGUCUCGCCCCGGCUUUCAAAUCCCUUGGCUUCCUCCCAGUCAACAUCAUAAGCACAAUACAGCCCAAUGCCCAAAUAUCAGAAGGUUGCAGCUGAAUAUUUUGAAGCACAGUUUCUGGAGACCAAUACAGUGUAGUGCCUCCAGAGCGCUUCUCUAUAAUCCUCUUUGCCAGACCCAAGUCUCCAAUUUUGGGCACAAAUUCAGAACCAACAGCAUCAGUUUUGGAGACAAGUAAUAUAUUCUCAGGCUUCAAAUCACAAUGCACAUAACCCAUUUCAUGAAUGUGCUUAACCCCCUUCAAAAUUGCCUCUGUAUACUUCCUUACUUGAAAUUCAGGCAACCCCCCAGACUUGUUAAUCAAAUCCCUCAUUGUUCCUCCAUCGGCAUAUUCCAUGAACAUAUUGAAAACCUUAUUGCCAUCAACACCAGCCGUCACAUCCUCUCCAUAGCGAUGGAUGAUAAACGGACAGUUGCUAAACGUGUCAAGAAGUGAAUUUUCCCUCACCAACUCAAGCGCAUCACAGUAUAAUGUUGACUUCACCGCGAAAAUUGAGGGCAAAACAUCGGCUCUCAAAUUGGGUUUUUUUACCCAACCCAAAUACACCGACCCAAAUCCCCCUUUUCCGAGUACCCGGCCUCGAACCCACUCACGGCCAGCAACCGACAAGCUCUGUUCUUUCUUUGGCCUUGAACUCGAACCCAUUGUUUGAAAACAAAAAUUGAAGCUUUCUGAUGAAAUAGGGUUUAUGGGUCUAACAAAACGAAAGCAAAGAGACAGAAAAACAGAAACUGGGUAGCAAGAGAGAGAGAGAAGAACUCGUUGAAGCAGUCGGUGAUCAACGAAGAAGACGAUGAAAUGUUGAUGUGAAAAAGAGGGCUUCGAUUGCUAACGCUCAAUGGUUUUUCCUCUGUGAUUUGAAGCUGGUGAAUGAGGGUUUUGAAAUCAGAGUAUUGUUUUCCUGGUUGUGUUGGGUUUAUAUAGCUUAACGCGUAACCUUCAAACGGUCAUAUAUCUUGCGCGGCUUUUGCUUUUGCUUCCGCUUCAAUUAAUAAUCUAAUAUAAUAUUUAUUUAUUUACUUUUGAAAUCCACUGGAAAAUAUCUUUCGUAAAUCUUAAGCCACUCCGAUCACAAGCUAAGAACUCUCAUGACCGUUGAUUUGGGGAGAUCUAGUGGUAAAUGGGAGAUUUAUGACUUAAUUUGAUUUAAAUUAAAUUAAAAUAUAGAAUUUAAAAUUCAAAAAAAAUAUUAAAAAGAGCUCACGUGACCUUCACGUGACCUUUACUUACCUCAACAAAAAAGACAAAAAAGAGGAAGACAGAGCUCAGAAAAAAUCGAAGCAACACAGCUCCAUUUCCCUUCUCCUUUCCUUCGUCCCCAAAUCUCUGAAUCUCUCUCUCUGCCUGGAAUGUUUGAUUUUUCAAAGUAGUUUCUCAAAAUGAAGCGCAAGAAAUGGUCGGAGCUCGAAGAGCUGACCCUUCUCACCAAGUACUCGGAGCUUCUCAUCUCUGGGGCUCUAGCCAAGCUCAAAACCCGUGAGAAAAAAUUCAAGCCCAUAGCGGACCACGUGAACUCGGUGCAUCAUCUUCACGACCCAGUAACCUUCCCUUUCAAAUGGUCCUGGCGCGACGUCUCGAUCAAGGUCCAAAACAUGCGCCACCAGUACCUGGGUGUGAAGCAGAAGAUCCGGGUCUCCAAGGACGAGUUCAACUGGAAAGAUGGUGAAAACCACUGGGAGAAUUUCUUGAAGUACAAAGAAGUGUUUGGGGAUGUGGAGCUUGAUGUUAAGGGCAAGAGGGCGUGCGAAAGUGAGAGCCUUGAUGUUUUUGGGGAUUGUGGGGACUUGGGGUUUGGGAUUGACUCUGAGGAUUUAGAGGAAGAAGAGGACGAAGAAGAAGAAGAACCAUUGGAAGAUGAAGAAGAAGAAGAAGACGGUAGCGGUGAUGGCGAUAAUGGUCUCGAGGAAUUAGGUAGGAGUGAAGGUGGUGAAUUUGGGGGUCAGAGAGAAAUUGGAGAUGUGGGUUUUGCUCAAAAAAGGAAAUUGAGUAAGGUUGGAUUACAUAGGAGGUUGGGGUUGGUCAGUGCACAAGUUUUGGACUUGAGGGAUGUGGUUGUGAAGAGGGAAGAGAGGAGGAGAGAGAGGGAGUGUAGGAGAGAGAACAGUGAGGCUGAGAGAGAGGAAAAGAGGAAAGAACUUGAGUGCAGGAGAGAGAAAAGGAGGAAUGAGAGGGAGGAGUGGUUGGAGGAUAGAGAAUUGGAGUUAGAAGAGAGGGAGGUGAUGUGGGCAAGAAAUGAAUUUGAGAAAAGGUUGAGGCUAGAGAGGGAAUUCGAUGAGGAGCGGCGUAGAAGGAUGAGGAUGGAGGAGAAGAGAGAAGAGGCAGAGUUGGAGUGGAGGGAGAGGAUGGUGAGUAUGCAAAUUGAGCAUGAGAAGCAAAUGAUGCAAAUGCAUGCUGAAGCGUGCCAGAACCAAAUGCAGAUUCUUGGAGUCAUGGCUAGGCUAGUUUGUCAAUUUUUUGGGUCGGUGAAUGAUGGGCUGGGAGGUGGUUUAGGGGCUUUGCCACCUCAGGUUUUGCAGAAUUUGCAGCAUCCGGGGGAUUUGGGCCACAAUGGGAAGCCGGAGGCUAAUUCACCUUCUGAGUUCCUCUAGACUGUAAUUUACAUGCUUGCCACAUACUACUACUGUUAUACCUCUAGUGAAAUGUUAAUAAGUUGAGUUCUAUCAUUUUUUAUUUAUUUUUUGUUUUAUCUUUGUAGUACGAUGAUCGAAAACAAUGAAUUCUUCUUGAUGCCUAUACUUGCAGUAACUAUUCUAAAUCUGUAACGAUGGAUAUAUAUAUUCUUUAUAUUUUAGAAUGUCAGUCUUUUUCAAGCGGAAGUUACCUAUAUUCUUUUGAAUGUUCAUCCUUUUCCUACUUGCUGUAUUUUUCUGUCAUAUUAAUUCUAUCUGAAACUCAUUAAUGUUCAUGUAUUAAAUCAUACAGUUAUAUAUUUUCGAAAAGAAGGAAUCAAGUCUUGUUGUGGUUGUUUACUUAAUAGGCUGUUUCAUCAGUUCUGUCAACCAUAUCAUUGCUGGUUUUGCAAAUUAACUAUAAAAAGGUUUUUUUUUAAUAAAUAAACUUUUAAAAUUUGGAUUUAUCAAUUACAACUAUGAAAAGGUUUUUGUUAUGGUCUGCUAUUGUUGCUUUUCGGAAAAGAGGUGGUAGCCAAUGUUGUUAUGACACCAGAGUGCAGCUUUUUGCUUCAACGUUUGAUUGUUUUACAAGGUUUCAGGAUGGGUUUAAAUAUUAAGAAGAAAAGGUUGUGGUUGGAGAAAAACAAGAAGUAUAUUUCAGAUGCUAGAAAUCAUUUAAAUGUGGAACUAUUACCAUGCAGUCAAAUUUCUGAACUUAGGAUUGUGAGUUUCUUCAUAUGCUAGAAACCACAUGCCGCUCCACAUACUUUAGAGAGCAUCAUUAUCCUCAUAAUGCAACUCCGAUAUAUCAUCAUGGUGGAUUCAGCGCUCAUCAUUAUGACAAAUAUCAGGUAAGCAUGCCAUCCAUACAAUGCUUGGGCCACUAGAUCUGUGCUAUGCAAUAUACUUAAGCUUUUCCUGUUUCUAUUUUUUUUAGAGGAGUUGUUUCUGUUUCUUUAUAUGUAUUUUGAGCCUUUUUCUACCAGCACCUUGAUUGGUGUUAAUGGAAGUUGUGUCUGUUUCUCAACAUUCAGCACUGAGAAUUACAUAAUCCUUGGUAAGUCAAUCAUGUUUCUCUUUCGUACCUUAUCUUUUCACAUAACAUAGUAAUAUGGUUCAAGCAGACAUAUAUAGUGGCACCCUCUAUGAAAUUGUUUUAGUAUUUGUGAUAGGAUAAGAGUCUGAGGCUUAAAGGAUUUAAAGCUAGCUUUUAUUCUCUUUUUCUCUUCCUCUUUGUUGUUUCAGUUUUGUUUUAUCCUUUUUAUUAUAUGUUAAUUUUAAUCACAGUUUGGGAACUGCACGCUUGAUCAAUGUCUGUAAAACUUUUAUUCAUCUGUGACAAAACUGAUACUGUUGUUUAUUGGGUACGAAUUUUGCAAAACUGCUGGAAUCUGAACCCCGGGGAUAUAAAAAAAAGGGUCCCUGGAAUGGAUGCAAUUAGUGAAAGUCUCAAUCUGAAGUUCUUCCCUGUUUGUCCUGAUCGCAUACAUGAUUUAUGCAUGGGGAGAAUUACCUUUCAGGACAUUGAUCGUACUUCAUUUGUGCAUGUAGACUGAGUUUUACAUUCUCUGGCUUGGUGUCUGAAUUCUAGAGGCUGCUGAUUAUACAUGCAGAUGUUGAGAAUUAUUGCAACUGCUUAACCCAGGUGGGUGCUUUAUAUAGAUUUAUAUGCAAAUUCAGUGCAUAGAACAGAAAUCUUUGUUAUUACAAUGCAAUUUCAUUUACAUAGAAAUCUUUGUUAUUAUAAUGCAAUUUCAGUUGCCUGUGUAAUUUUAACAGGGAAUGUGUAUAUAGUACAGGCAUCAUCAUUAUUACAGGCUGUUUGGAAGGUAAUUUAAAUAGAUUGGAAAAAAUCUCCCUGUUUUCCUAGAUUCCAAGAUCUUGCUUACUUUUAUAUCUCAUUUUGUGAUGAUGGAAACUACACUUUGUUUUCAUAAUUGUGUGGUUGGGCUUCAAAAAUAGUAUUCAUGGAGUGUAACUGUAAAACCCUGAUGUUAUUAUUUUAAAUGAGUAGCGCGUAUGUGGUUUAUGCGUAGGAAACGUGUUUUUAUCUGUGUUGCUCAUGUUACUUUUCCAAAAUUUGGGUUGAGAUAAUUUCUAAAAGAGCAGCCUUUCUCUAACCAAGGAUCUCAACUUUCUCUUAUCUCUACCAGACCAUAAACCUUUGACCUUGAGAUUGAGAUCAAAAGACUCUACCAUCAUGAAAUCAAUUAUGCCCAGAAUUUUAACUUAAAAGGUCCUCACUUCCUUCCACAGCAGUGUAGACAUGAUUUUCAGUUGUAAAUACCUACCUAAUUUUGUCCAGAUUUCAUUAGGUUUUAAAAGCAGUGUGUUUAACCACUGUUCAUCCGUGUUAAAAUCAUAGUGCGAGCCCCAGGCUCCUAGACUCUCCACUGAAGGUUCAUUUGUCCAUAUCCAAAGUGAAAAAUUCUUUUUUAAUUUUUUCCCCAUUUUUAUUUUGCAUGUGAAAAAUAGCUUGUGUGUUUGUUCUUGUGAGAGGUACAUGCUAAUAAAGGUGCUCAUAUUCCCUCCAUCCUACUCUCACACCUCCUGUGACAUCUUGAUAUGCAAUUUUCUGGAUGUUACCAAUUGUGCUGUUUGCCAAAUCUCUAAAAGAAUAAUGGACUUUUAUUUUUGGUAAACAGAAUAGUGUAAUUUAUUGUACAGAUCUUCAAUGACAGUUAUCUUCUAUGAUUUUUAAGAAUUUUGUUUAUUCCUUUGUCCUAUCAUGAUGUACCAUUUUCUUUGGGGCACAAUCUUUGAUCUUCUUUUGUAAAAUAUUUGAAAUCUUAUUUAUCUUCUCUAGAAUUUGUUACUUGUUAUCUACUUUGUUCUGGUUUUUCGACUUUGAUAGGGUUCUUAUAAAUCCAUUGACAUUGGGCUGUAUGGACGUGCACUUUGGAGCUUUCUUAGAUGGGUAAGAGGCCCUUUAGAGCUUAAGUUUUGGGUCUCUUCAAGGCCCUUGUAAGAUUCCAGGCUUCAUCCCUCUAUUUAGGAAAAAAAGAAUAGGCUUCCCUUUUUCCAAGAAGAUGAAUCUAAUAGAUGCAUAUUUGUCUUGACAAAAUUAAUUUUAUGCCCUGAUUACUUGGGGAGGUGCUGUUCAAUCAAGUUUAGUAGACAAGUAACCUUUCUCCCUCUUUGAUUGUAUACUUUAACCUUGAAAUUAGUCUUUGGAAAUUCCAGUGAAUCAGGGAUUGAACAAAUCACGUUGGUGGUAGCUCUUGUUUCAUUGUGACUUGACAUGGUUGUUUUAUCACUUGUGCCACUCCAAUGUUUUUAGCUGACAACAUCAUCUUUUUUAUUCUGUUUUCUUUUUGUUUUGUUCUUUUUUAAUUUACUUUAGGUAGUUGCACAGCAGCGUGAAAUUACGACUUCCAAUUCAAAUUAGAAAUGGAAAGACAUAUUUGAUUGGUUGGUGUGGAUGUUUGAUAAUUACACAGCUUUCAUGUUAGAUAAGUAUCCCAUUCCAAUAUGUGAAUUAUUUUCUAUAGACCAAAUUUUAAAUUAAUUAUUGAAUGGUUAGCUGUUCAAAGGAUAACAGAAAUUUUAAAUUGUUUGUCUUACAUCAUCUUGUACUGACCAGUAAUAUAGUAUCAAGACACCUUUGAUGACUAUUGAAUAUGGCAUAAAAUCAUUGACAUCUUGUGAUCCUUUUUCUUUUCCCUUUGAGAUAGUGCACUCAGAUUUCCAUGAGUACAUCAACAUGGCUGAAAGCCCAUGACAGUUGUGCCUGCCAUGGGCUUCCGGCCUUUCUAGGUUGUUAAGGUUGUAUGUAUCGACACCAUGUAGGCAGGCACUUAAAUCCAGAAAUAUCAGUACUUACGUUCAAGUUGGGAGAUGUGUGGAUAUAUAUUUUUUAAACAUGAGCUCUUUGAAUUAUUAGAUAACAAAACAUUUCCAUGUCAACCAGUUUUUGGUAGCUGAACCUUGCUGGCUGCAAACUGGGGAGAUAUGACAUUUCUUGUUUUUGCAAUGGUGAAUGAGGAGCAGUGUGACUUGGAGCAUGCAUUUUGUGAAGAAGUUUCACACGUCCAUAUGAAUAAAUGGAUGAGAGUUGCCCACCUCAAAACACUAAAGCAUUAGCAUGAUGCAUGUUCAUGCUACAUUUUCGUUGUGUCGUCCCGGAAUGUCGGGAGACACACACACACAAACAUUUGAAUAAGUUUGGUUGUAUUGGGUUCGAUUAUGUGUUCAUUAAACAAGUUAUAUAAUUAAGAUAUGUUGGUUCUAUUAGACAUGUUUAGGGAGUGUGGCUGUUGCUAAAUUAUUGACAACCAAUGAUGCUAGAAAAUAUGGGUCAAUUUAGAGGCAGCUUAUACAUAGCAUGUGUUUAGUGAAGAUGAUUUGUUAGCAUAGAUGAAUGACACCACUGGUUUCAAAGUUUGAUUCGAGUCAAAGAGCAAUAGGGGUUUUGGUAGUUAAGGGAAGUACUUGAUUGUUAAAAAUAAUAAAUUAAGGUUGGCUGGAAUAAUAUACUUUCCAACAUCGAAUUAAGGUUUAAUAUAAUUGAGAUUUUUGUUUUCUAGAUGAUUGAUUGAAAGGUCAUGUGAGUUCUAAUAAUGCUUAGGGGAAAAAUCAUUUUUAUUCACCAUGUGGUUUGGCUCAACUUCAUUAUUCUGCAUCAGGAGUGGAAUGGGGCCACUUUUUCGUUGUGGCUUAUUUCCUUACCUUCUUUGUGGUGCGUCAUGUAUCAUCCUCACUAAUCCAAUCAAAAGUUUGCAAAACAUUCCCUAUUAAUGAUUUUAUGGUGGAUAUGAUAAAAUUUUACACCCCCUCCUAAUCCUCAAAUUUGUUGUAAGUGCAAGUAAUUGUAGUCACUAAUGCCUGUCUAGCCAACAGCAGAAACCAUAGCUGACAUUUUAUAAUUGGGUUCUACCACAGGGUGGUAAAGGGUUUCACCUAAAGCUCUUUCCGGUUUUUGCUUCUGCAUAAAAAGAAGUGGUAUCGACCAACCACAGUUUCAUUUUCUGCAUUUGAUUUGUGGCUCUUAGACAAGUUGCUUUGCCUGUUCCAAUACAUAAUAUGAAUAUAAGAAAUAUUGAAUAUCGAAACAAAUGAACUUGUGAGAUAGGGACAGUAAAUCAAUAAUUCUUAAUUACAUCCUUUGACUUGUAACCAAGUUGAGAUUUCCAUAAGCAUAGGCAGUUUAGACUGGUUGUUGCCAACUGUUGGUCAAAUAGUAAAGGUAGUUAUAAUGCUUUUGGGAAUUUCAGGGCCUCAGUAUGUUCUAUAUUCCUUUUUCAUGUUAAUGAAUUCUCUUGAUUAUUCAUCACCUAGACUGUUGUAUUCAUAUGAUUGUGUAGAAUGUGUAGAACGAUGAUUGAUUCAAGUUGAUGAUUUUUAGUUCUGAAUCUGCUUGGACAUUAUGCUGCAUAAUCGGCAAGAAACAAUAGAAUAGAAAUUGUCUUUUUUUCUAUCUGCAGAACUCUGUGAAAUGUGACUGUUAGAUGGAGCAGGUUUCAUGGCCGACCAGUCCACAUAAAUGUGGAUCAGAUCCUUCUAGUGGGUACAUUUGACAACAGGUGGUGUUAAAUUAAACAUUAUGAAAGUUGAAAAAUGAAAAUCAGGACACUGAGAAGCUGAGGGGGAAACGAUAGUGAAUAUGGUGGCCCCUUGUAGCCUUAACUGUGUAGCCUUUUUCCAUUAAUUUUUAUGCAAUUAAUUGGUUUGAAAUCUGUCUUGUAAUUUGUUUGUUCAUACAUGUUAAUCCUGUCGUUUCUAGGACUGUUUGUGAAAUAAAGAGUAAGAAUUCUGCAACAUUCUAUUGUGGCAGCUUUUUAGCCUCUUUUGGUAGGUAAAGCAGUUGGGAGGGAGCAGCAACUGUUACUAGGUAAACAUCAUCACACCUUCCUUCUAUUUUACGCACACACAAAUGUAAUGAUUUUAUUUUUUAGGUGAGUGUAAUAUUAACUGGUUGUUGGGCUUUCAUAUCUUGUUUAACAAUUGGUUUCAUCCCCAAGGCAUUAGUAUGUUUUGAAAUAUUGGAUUCUAGACUUAUUAUCUUUUUCACCCACCAGUCUUACAUCUGCAACUUCAACACCCAAUAUCCAAUAUCCAGUUCUAAAAGAUUAAGGCCCUACAAAAUGUAGGGGUCCUGCUUAAAACCUCUCUGGCUGAGAGAUUGCAUUUUGAUAUGUAUUUUAAGUAAUUUUCUUCUGUCAUAUAUCUGGAUGGAUAUCCAUUCGUGCUCAUCCUUAUCUUACAUAUGUUCCCCACUUGCCCCCCACCACCUCUGUGCCGCUCACAGCUUCAUAAAAUUUCACUUAUGUAGUUAGCAGGAACCUAAAAUUUCAGUGCAAGUGGACAAUACAUUAAGAUUUCUGUUUGUUGUUUAGCCUUGAUUUUGUACGUAGUGAAUUCAGUUCCUUAUUAGUGGACCUCGAAACCUUAUCAAGAUUAUAUUAAGGGCCAAGCUGUUGAAUGUUUCGUUUUUGGUACUUGUGCUUCGGAAUUUUUAACUUCUUGUCUUUUUAACUUUUAACACUUCUUGCUUCACUUGGAGCAGCGAUGCAAUUUAUUUUAUUUUCUCUGGCAGGUGUUGGAGUCUGAGGUCCUGGUUUCUUAGGAAUCCUUAACUUAAAAAUUUCUGUGUAUAUUGUUUACUGUUGUUUCCUUUUUCUGUUACUAUAAAACAAUGAAAGAAACUUGUAUGCCUAGUAAAAGUCGCAUCUGUAUUUCUAAUGGGAAAACUGCCUCUGCUUUCAAAAUUUGUGUUGGUGAGGAUAGAAAAUAGAAGAAAAUGAGGCAUUUGAAAUGGUAGUUGAAUAUGUUGCUAGGCCUUCGGCUUGGAUUGUUUUGGGAAUUUGGGGUGGCUUGAGAGAAUGGUAGGUCCCAAGUUUUGCUGAGACAAGAGGAUAUUGAUUAUGAAAAAGAUGGUUGCUCCUGCUUGGAUCAAGUACGAGACUCAUUGAGAUGGUCCCUUCUGUUUAACAAAGACCCUGCACAGUAUUUAUUUCUUUCUUUUUCGUAUGCACCAUUUGGUACGGCGAAGAGAUGGUCUUGGCUUCGGUUUAAAAAGACCAUUUUAUCCUUUCGGGCUCAAGUGAAAUGACAAACUAUCAUUUCUUUCUUGAUAUAAAAUAUAUUAUUUUAUUCAUCAUGGGACAUUGUAUUGCAGUAGGAUUUUGUCAACCUUAGUGAGGAGGUCCUUUUAAUUCGAAUUAAAUUAAUCCCUUGUCAAAAAGGGUCCCAUAAAAAGGGGUACAUCAUGCAUGAGUGUAAUGUUUCUGGGUUUGCCGGAAAUGACAAAAUGCAUUUGUUUUUCCUAUUCCUUUUUUCCCCCCUUCGAUUUGCUAUUGUUCUUUUUUCUUAUAUGAACAACUAAAACACAUGCAAGAAGUUAUACACACAAACAUGGGAAAAAGUGUUCUCAAAUUAUACACUAAAUAACCCAAUCUUAAACCCAAUAAGUUAAUGUCCAAGCUCGUUUAAAUUGAAAACAUCUCUUAUUUUUUAGCAAUAAAAAACAAACAAGGUUCUGCACAAAGUCACCAUAGUUAGUAAAUGACGGGACAAGGAUAAAAUAUAAUAUGUACGUGUAUUAUUCGGCAAACUUCUUAAAAAAUAUGCGGUAUAUUAUUCGGCAAAUUUCUUAGAUGUGAUCCAAAUUUACAUUUCCAUUGCAACAUUUGCUUGACAAUAAUGUUAAGGGAAAUUCUGGUCCACUUCGGGCUAUUCUUUGUAUUCUUGUAUUGAUUUUCUGGAAUUAAUAACAGUCCUCCUAAUCCAAAAAAAAAAAAAAAAAUUUGUUAAGGAAAAUUCUAUUGCCACCCCGAAUUUUUUGAAACCACCCCUUUAAUUUUCAGCCUAAAGUGUCGAUUUUACCCUCCCAUCACUUUCUUCGCUUAGUUAAUAGCCCGCUGGGCCCCCCGAAAGGGAAAAAGAGAUGAGAGGGAUGGGGGAAUGGAGGGUUGCGGGCACCGACAGCAAUUCUAGCGACAGUGGAAGGUGGGGGUGGUCUCAAUAGGGGUAAGCUUGGAGAUUUGGAUAGGGGUAGGUUUCAAUCGAUUGGGUGCGAGAAUUAUAAAUUUUCAAAAUGUCACCUCAUUAAAAUUUAAUUUAAGAAAUUAAAUUGGAGACCUCAUCCUAGGCCUAGGCACGGAUCAAUUUGGAAUAGUAGAUGACUCUUCCGUUAACCAAAUCAAAGACUUCGAUAGACCAUUUUCUUUUUCGUUAAUUAAACUAAGAACUUCGGUAAACUUCAGAUUGGUUAACCUAACAUUUAGUUUGGAUUGGUUCGGUACGCCGAUAGUACCAUAAUAAAAACAUAUUAAUAAAAAUAAAAUUUAUAAUUGUUUCACAUUACAUAAGUUCUUGAACAAAAACACCAAAUUAUCCUUGUAAAAUAUAAAAAUCCAAUGGUCUAAUUCAUCCCAAUAUGAAAUAAAAUAACUUAGCAACUAUACCGUUCAAUAUGUACUCAAAAUGUACUGGGAACCACUUGCUCUUUCAUUUGAGAAUCUACUCCUACACCAUUAAACAAAUUAUGAAAAUAGAAAAUGGAACACAAAUGAAUGCAUAGGAUCAUGUGUCUUGAGCCACUAAAAUUAGAGUUUAAUUACAUUUUAAACAUUAGAAUUACGUCAUUUGAAUCAUCAAAACCCCCCCUUUUGUUUAUGUUUGUUGUUUGAAACUUUGAGUGUUAUUUUUACUGAAUUAUGUACAAAUAUGUAACUGAUUUUGACAUUUGGUCCGCAUUGGAUUCUUUAGUUUUUCAUGUUGAAUCCAACCAUAUAAAGAACAUAAGAUUUGGAUUAACGAUUGGAAAGUUAAAGGUAAAAAAUGAGACAAAGAUCGAAACUAGAAAACAUAGGAAGUUCAUAAAUUCCUCUAUGACCUAAAAGUGCUAUAGUACCCGGGUGAUAAAAAAGCGAUACACUAGUGAUAAAAUAGUGAUAUAUAGGUGAUAUAGGAGCGAUACAAAAGGUUGAUUGUGUUUACCUUUGGUUUCUUGUUUUGCAUUUAAAUAAUAAAGUAAGUGUAUAUAUCAUAUCGGUACGAGUUUCCGUCUGGUUAGGAAUAUUGUUACCUGUUAACCAAACUAAACAUUUCCAUACAGGUCAGAUCGGAAUAAUUAAAAUUAAAAAAAUAAUUAUUUAACCAAAUCAAACCAAACCGUCGGUACACGGAUAAUUGGAAUGAGAUGCCCACCCGUACUUCAUCCUUAAAAUAAAAACCUAAUUUAUUCCUAAUUAAAAAUGAAAACAAACACCUAACUUGACUAACGGCUAAACUUAACGUCUCUAGAAGUUUUUUUUUCCUUCUUCUUCCUUCUCUGCACGUCUCCACCCACCUCCAAAAUCUUUUCGUUCUCCAAUCUUAUUACACAAAAACAUUCUUAUUACCAAGAAAAGUAUGAGCAUAAUAAGAAUCAUCUGACACAUCGAAUAAGGAACUAGCUCCAAGGGUAUAGGAAAUUGAAUCAUUAAGUUCACCCAAAUAAUAGAAAACCUGGAGUGAGAAAUAACAUAAUUCAUUUAAUAAAAAAAAAAUAGAUAUAGCAAACUCUACGUAUUCAAAAAGAAACAGGGAAUUUGUGCCUACAAAUGAUGAAGACAGACAAAGUCUUCAAACCUACAAGUCAAAUACAACUAACUCUCUGUUCUUCUAGAACUUCCACUGUGAGUUUCUAGUUGGGAUGCCUAUGUCAGAGUUUCUUCGAUCAUAUGUGAUCGUUAGUGGAGGCACAUCAGAUUGUCUUAAUUUUGAUAUUAGAUUGCUCCGUUAUUGUAAUGGCCCUUUGUGGCUAGUGAAUUUUUUAGAUGAAUUAUGAAUGCAAUCCAAGAAUUUCUCAAAAAAACAAAAGUAAACCACGUUGUAGAACUCAAUAUGAUAAUGCAACAUUGGUUGGAAAAAAAAAUUGAUAAAUUUUUUUGGGAAGUGUAUAGCAAUAAUACUAUCGGGUUUAGGGCUUUUGUUUACACAAAAACCAUCUAAGGCUUAUGGGGUUUUACUUUAGGUUUAAUUUUCGAGUUUAGGGUUUUGUGGCUUUCGUGGGUUCAUAACUGAGGUUUCGCUUCUUCUUGAGUCAUUAACCAUAUAAAAUCCCUACUAAGAUCUUGAAAGCAAUAAAAUAAAGUUCACAUUUGUGCAUUUUUCUUGCUUUAAAGGAUUCUGUUAAAGGGAUUCUUUUUCGAAAAGCAGUCGAAAGAUUGGUCAAAUAAUACUAUUUGAAGAACACAUUUGCGAGACUCAUUUUACAUUAUAAUUCAAUGACUCAAGUUGUUUUCUUUCUAAGUUUUUAUUCGAAAAUUGGCAUUGAAAAAUAUCAGUUAUAAAUAUAAAUUGCUUAGUUAUUUGAUUAUCAUACCAUUCCACUAUAUUUAUCGAUAACACACCAUUUCAUAUAUUAAUUAAGAGACUUUUUUUUUAUUAUUUUUUUAAAUUUAAAUUUAUUUUAGAAUUAAAAAAAUAAUGGGUAGUUGUGUUCCAUAAAAAUUGGAUCCAUUAUUUGAUUUUUCUUUUUAAUUUUUUUUUAAUAUGAAAAGUGUGAAUUUACUAUACUAUCCUCAUUUAAUUAAUAAUUUCAAUUCUUAAUAUUUGCAUUAACCAAGGGCAUUUUAUGGUAUUUUGAAUGUUUCACCAUUUUCUGCAUUUUGCUUUAUAUACAUAGAUAAUAGAACCAAUUAGCAUUGAGGCAGCAAAGACCAAUGCACGAAUUGCAGUACAAUAGAGUUGUAAUUCACUAGUUAUUCUAGAUGCUCGCCAAAUCUGAAAAAACUCAGAGGUUAUUUGUAUUCCUCGGAAACCCCCGCCCACAUCACCAUUCAAUAUUUCUUGACCCACUAUUGGCCAAUCCACCUGGGCACUAGGUCAAAUGUGAGUACUAGGAUCACUUAGCCAUAAAUAUUCAAUUUAGAUGAUGGAUUGAUCGAAAGACCAAGGUCUAUGAUGAUAUUCAGCCAGAUAACGCUAAGUAAUAAGAGGAAAGGAGCUGCAUGCGCAUCAAGUAUAUAUUUUAUUCCAGAAAAAGCAGCACCAAACAAAAUGUUGUUGGGUUGGAAACCCUAGUGAUGAUACUUUUUGUGAGUCAUCAAGCCAAAAGCAGCCUUGGAACUAUAUAUUACAUUUUACGAUCAUGAUGAUCAUGAUGAGGACCAAAAGCCACUGAGCUCUUUGUAUACAAAUAUGGUGGAUAUGCUCUAGCCCUUUACAGUCUCAUUUGGUCAUCAUAACAUUCUGAUGAAAUGCUUUGAUGAUCUUAUGACCCGUAGGCUCUUACUUUUGAAUCCGUCUUUUUUAUGUAUGUAUGAAUUAAUGUAUAAUAAGGAUAUUAUGAGUCAUAUUUUUGGGCUUACACGACAAUGUGAUAUCGUGAUACAAACCAUUCAUUUUUUAAUUAUUUUUAAAAAUUAUGAUGAAGAAAAAUUCUCAGUCAAAUGAAUUAACAAUUUCUUAGCUAUUUUAUUAUUAUCCCGAUCAAAUGAUGAAAUAAAAAAGUUGGGUAUCUUUUUUCCUUUAUAAUGUUAAUAAAUAAAAUAAUCAUGGAUAUCCUUAAUUAUAAGUUCAAUCAUGCAUCUAUAUCAUUGCAGAUGAAUCUUCUUUAUGGCUCUUCUAGACGAACAACAGAACAGAGUAUAAUUUAUACGUAUACAAUUUCCAUGACAAUAUGAAAACAAAUUAAUGAAGAACUAGGGUUUUAGUGAAAUAAUAUUCAGAAUUCCAGAAAACAUGUGGAAUGGAAAAUGACAUAUACUUAACGGUAAACAACUGACUAUAAAGUCUACAAAGAAGGCACACACACACACACACGACCUUAUCUUCUUCAAGCCCGUAUGACUUUGUAAGAGUGAGACCCACCUAAACAGCCAAAACCACCAGUCCAAGUCAACCUUCUCAUUUCUCACCUCCCCUCUCUCUUCAUGAAGCAGCUCUCGAGCACUAUAUCUACGCCCAUCUUCUGCCUUUACAUGGGCCUUUCUCUCUCUCUCUCUCUCUCUCUCUCUCUCUCUCUCUCUCUCUCUCUCUCUCUCUGAGCGAAAAUGAGAAAACCUUGCUGUGAAAAAGAAGGCACAAACAAAGGAGCUUGGUCUAAACAAGAAGACCAAAAACUCAUUGAUUACAUUAAAGCUCAUGGGGAAGGCUGUUGGCGAUCUCUCCCCAAGGCUGCAGGUGUGUUUUGGGUCUGAACAACAUGAGUUGUGUGCAUUUUUAUGUUUGUAUAUAGAAAUAAUAGUCUACUUUGUGUUCUUUUAUGUUCCAAAUUAUUGAUGACUUAUAAUUUGUGUGAUGUUGUAUUAUUAGGGUUGCACCGCUGUGGCAAAAGUUGUAGGCUAAGAUGGAUAAACUAUCUAAGGCCAGACAUCAAACGUGGAAACUUUGAGCAAGAUGAAGAAGACCUCAUCAUCAAACUACAUGCCCUUCUUGGCAACCGGUAUGUACCAUCAAUCUUUCCUUCCUCUCUUUCUCGUGUCAAAUAUUUAGUAAAUGCAUAUGUUGACCAGACUGUCUGAUAAGAAGCGAACAUUUUCCUACAUAUAUGGCGUAGAUAUUCACAUGUGUUAAAAGUGUUAGCGCGUAAUUAUAAAGGUCAACUAUAUAGCUAAUGGUGAAAGUUUCGUGCAUGGGCUGUUAGGUGGUCGCUUAUUGCUGGAAGGUUGCCAGGGAGGACGGACAACGAGGUGAAGAACUAUUGGAAUUCUCACAUCCGGAAGAAGCUAAUUAAAAUGGGCAUUGAUCCCAAUAACCAUAGGCUAAACCAGAUCAUUCCUCGUCCGAAUCCUCAAAACGACUGUGUUUCUGCUGCUGCAACAUCAUCUGGAUCAAUGAGCAAUAUUAGUGCAUGUACUAAAGCACCAAUCAAGUCUUCACGUGAAAUUGAUCAAAGGGCCUCACAAGCUACAAGUGUUCUUGAAGAUGAAACUUCUGGUUCAUCAUCUCGUGACUUGAAUCUCGACCUCACCAUUGCUUUUCCUAAUCCUCCACUACUAGUUGGGGAAGAGAUGCAAAAAAAUAUUAAAGGGUCCUUCACUAUGGCGAGAGAAAUCGAAACCAACCUUCAACAUUCACCCACUCUUGCUCUUUUUAGAUAAUACAUAUAAUUUGGAGAAGGAGAUGAAUUGAUCCUUAACUAGCUGAUCUUGGCCAGGAAUUGGAAAAGGAGGGAAUUAAAAAGGGAAUUAUUGUUUGGCUGAUCAAGAACUUUGGCUAGUAUUGACAGAUAGCUAGCAAAAUUGUGGCUAAUGGAGGCAUUAACAUGGAGCGAAGGGCCAAACACUUCAUCAUGAAGGCAGCUAGAAUAUUGAUCCCAUUGUAUGAUAAUCUCAUUAGGCUAUAUAAAUUCUUGGAUGUAGCAUACAAAUUGGAGAUGAACUGCAAAAAUCAGUUGAUCACCAAGAAAUGAAUAUGCAUGGGAAGGGAAAUGUGUGUUGAUUGUAAUUUGUGUUCAGGCAGGGGGAAAAUUGAUGUUGAAUGACAAAUAAGCUAUAUGAUAUACAUAUCUUAUUUUUAUAGGAGUUCUUAGUUUUAAAACCAUGAUGGGCAAUUGAACAUACAUAUUUUUGUUGCUUAAUUAUUCUUUUCCUUUUAUUUUUCUCAAAUGAUAAUUUGUUUCCUUAGUUAAUGAUAUAGUUAUAGAUUUAUGAACUAAUCUUGGACAUUUCUUAGCAUGUGAAAGUUAGGUAUGUGAACACUUGGUAAUUCCAAAACAGGAAUUGGGGUGAAGAGCAUCUUUAACACCAAAUCAGGGUGCUGUUGGUUUCCAGUCAUAAAGCACAAAAAAUCUGUCAACCAUAUAUAUAUAUAUAAAAAGCUACACAAUACUGUUUUUGUAUAGUAGUACAUUACAUUAAUGCUUAAUUUGUAUAUCAUGCAAAGCUAUAUAUAGUUAGCCCUCUUUUACUGUAUUUGUAUGAAUUAGCAUCAAGAUAAUAAAAAUAAAUCUCGUAAACGGGUCUAGCACAGUGUGUGUGUAAGAAACCCUCUCCCCCUUAUAGUUUAAAUUAUUGCUUUUAUUUAAAAAGAAGAAUAAAGCAAUCUCAUUAAUCUCAUAUUAGUAUAUUGUGUUAUUCUAUUUAUUUCUUCACAGUUAAAUGAUCAAGUGGAUUCCGAUUUGAUUGAUUAUAUUUUGAAAAGAUAAUCCUUGACUGGUGACUCAAUAAUUAAUAUACAGUUCCGAUCAUUGAAUUCAUCGAGAGAUGGUCUCAAUACAAUUUUUUUUCUCCCUCUUAAAAGAUGGAGAUCCGUUGUUAAUGGGGCCGGGAACUAUAGCUUAAUGGGGUCCCCUCUAGAGUCUUUCAUAUGAAAUGAACUCCUAGAAGUACAUACUAUGGCAACUAAACAAUUGUUGAUUGCAUAACAGUCAUAAUUAUCCGCCGUGAUUAAAUGUUAAGGAAAGUAGGCCAUCAUGAUCAAAGACAAGAUUUAGAUCCUCCAGUGCCUUUAAACAUGUGCAGUUUCCUGCAUUUUGAAGCUAAAGUCUUACCAUCCAAUUAAUCUAUUAAUGGCUAAAACCCACUCCACAAUCUCCUUUUUCUGGUCCGGUCACUUUCGCUCCGUCUCAUUCUCAUCGGCCCAUGCAUCGCACAUUGAGAUCUCUCUCCCUCACCCACUCAUUCUCAUCCCUUUCUUUUUUCUCCUUCACCACUCAUCCGUCUUCUUUCUUUAAUGCUUCUGGCGCAUUAUAUCAUGCAUAGACUAGAUUAGAAAAAAUGCCUAUAUUUCAUGUGCUUAACUUGGAGGAAGAAUUGAGACUAUCUUCAUAAGAAGUUGAUGACUAAAACUUACCCCUUCCCUAAUCCCCUUGAAAUUGGUGGUAUUAUGAGGGAUAAGUUUUAGUAAUCAACUUCUUAUGAAUAGUCCUCCCUCAUCUUCCAAGCUAUACAACAAUAUCCAUAUAUAUUAUGUCUUGAUUGCACAUCAAAUAUGGGCAUUUUGCUAGUCUAGUCUAGUCCAAUUUAGUCCUCCUUAACAAACAAGGGCCUUAUUCUUUUAUUAAUUAGCUAGGCAUCAUUACGAGACUAGACAAAUUGCAAAGUUAAUUGUAAAUUGAUCAUUUUAACAUAAUUGUGGUUUCUACACUAAUUGUUGUGAUUGUGAAUCAUACAUUGGAAAAUUAAAGCUUUACCUAAUAGUAAACUUUACUUAAUAGUUUAAAAGAUCUUGAGCCUCUUCACACAUUGUCAAUUAAUUUUGAAUUAGAUGCUCACAUCGCAUUUUUUAUAAUAUAUCAAUUGUAUAAUUGCGCAUUCUAUUUUUGUAUUUCAUAAUCAAGAAUAGCUUUCUCCCCUUUAUUUAAAAAAUAAAAGAUGAGCCAACGGUGUCUAAUCCAGUGGAAAGAGCCUUGAUUUGCAGACCAAUGGUAUCAGGUUCGAACCCCAUGACACCUUGACAGUGUGUGUGAAAAAAACCCAUCUCCCAAUAUCACUUUUAUAAAUAAAUAAAAACAAAACAAAAUAAAAAGGCAAAGAUGAAAGACGGAAAAAAUCAAAAUGAAAAUUGCAGAUGUGGAUGAUAGAAAUGAGAGGAGGGGGUUUUGGGGUUAAAAUCUUGAGGUAAUGUGAUAGGUGAGGCCGUUAGGUUGGUUAGCUGGUAAGGAUUCGUUUAAAUGUAGCAAACUGCAUGCACAAGUUUUAUGGGCAAAGGAGAGUUAGAUCGAUCUGUAAGCACAAAUAUCGCUGCCUAAAGUUCUCAACAGCUCGUCAAGCCUCAAGGACACAAUUAAUUCCCACAUAAUCUAAUUAUAAUGGUUCAUAAAUAAUCCAUAAAGUCAAAGGUCCACACGUUGCCUCUCAGCUCACAUAAAAGUCGAAUUUACAUGUGUAGCCACCCUUUCGGCCCACCAAGGACAUUUUUGCCACAUCAAUGUCACUAUGCUGUAAGAGGGCUUUGACGCCAAGCCAGAGCACUGCAUGGCUGAUUUAGAAUAGGAGAAAGUCUGGGGUGUUUUUUUUUAUAGGGAGUUGAUUUUUCCACUUCUCAUUUCUUUACGUAUACUUUUUUUUAAAUAAAUAUUUUUUAAUUUAUUUUGUUCUUUUUCUUUCCUAUUUUACCUUUAUUCUACAUUAAUUUCUUUUUAUUUUACUUUUAUAUUAUUUCUUUUUAUUUAUACUUAAUUUUUCAACUUACACUCUAUUUUUAGUUUUUUUUUUUUUUUUUACUUUAAUUGAGUAAGAAACAAUUAACACUUAUAUUUGUCUAGGCAAAAUUACAUGGUCUACUUGCAAAAACUCAUGCCCCACAAAUAAACCUUGCAUCCAUAGUUUUUUCUUUUCUUUUUUUCUUUCUUUUUUUUUUUUUUUGUAGAGGAAACAAAUUUUAGGUGACCACAAAGAAACUGAAAUGCAUCUAACAAUAAAUUUUUACAUUUUGUUUUUCCAUGUUCUUCUCAGUCAUAACCUUUUGGAAAACAAAUAUUGAAUGAAAUUGAUGAAAUUGUGGACAUGAAUUGAGUUCUCAGAAUUUCGGAAAAUGAAAUUGAGUUUGAGACUAUGAGUUUCAAAUUCACAUUAAUGGAGUUCUCUUUGUUUCAUAUGAGAUUAUUUCAUACAUUCAUUUCGUUUGGAUACCUUCUCAGAAAGUACAAAGUGCAAGGUACUAAACAUAAGCUCUAUAUAAACAUAAGCUUAAAAAGUGCAAGGUACUAAAUUUGCAAAAGAUAUGUUGUCACUUCAAAUUGACCAAUAUACAAAUUUACCAAAUCAUAUUGGUGAACAAGAAAAUCUAAUUUGUCAACCAAUCUAAUUAGAUAACAGCAAGUCAUUAAAUGGAUCUCACUUCAUAUUUCAACUAGGAAUUAAAUGAUCAUGUGAUAGGGUAGAGAGUAAGCCAUGUACCACACAGAAAUAUCCUAUUUUGAAUUUCCUGCAAAUUGAAUUGACGUUCAGAUAAAUAAAAGAUUUCAAGUGUAUUAUUUUCUUAUAGAUGAAAUUAAACUCUUAAAGAAAUAAGCCAUGUACCAUAAGUGCAAAUAUAUAUUAUUGUCUUAUGAUACAGAGAUUGAAAAUUUGCAAAACCAGAAUUCAUAAGCAAGAAUCAAUUUUUUUGUUAAGAGUAAGAAAAGAGUCAAUGGUGAACCAUAUGCAACCAGACCUCAGCAUAUCAAGUGAGAACAAAAUGAAGAAAAACAUAAUAGGAAGAAUUACAGUCUGCAUUUAGAUAUAAAGAGACAUAGCAGAUGCAAAUUUUAUUGUUUUCAACCCUUUUUCCAUUCAAGAAAGUCCUCUUAAAAAUUCACAUUCAUGGCUCCCGAAACAAUUUAUAGUCUGCAAAUUUUAUUGUUUUCAACCCUUUUUCCAUUCAAGAAAGUCCUCUUAAAAAUUCACAUUCAUGGCUCCCGAAACAAUUUAUAGACCAAGCAUGCCCUAAAAAUGCAUAAAGAGCAAUAAGUUCAAAGAUUCCAUUAUGAAAACUACGGCGGGUUGUACCACCUUCUAAGCCCUCCUGAAGACAUAAGUUUGUGGAUAAAUAAAAUUACAGUGGAUACAACAUCUAAAAAGUUUAAGGCACACAACGUGAUGAUUUUUAAAUUCAAGUUACAUGAAUAUGAAAAGACAACACUUAGUUUAUAAGUUCUCAAAUUUUGAAGAUAAUUACUUACCCAAAAGUAAUUCUAAAGGGUUCGCCUCGGGUUUCGAAAAAUUCGGGGCGGGUCCUUUCAGUUGGUAUCAGAGCUCUAGGUUCAAUUUUCUGUGGACCCUGCACUUUAUGUGCAUCCUUAAUUGUGGGGAUCAAAAAUGGGUUCCAUCUCGGAAUGGCACAUUUGCGACGUUGAGGACGUCGCAAAAGUCAAAUUAUUUCACAAAGGAAAGAUACAUAGACCGCCGGAGCAUAAGAAGGGCUGGAGCUUUACCACAGACAGUGGUUGUUUUAGGAGUUCCGGAAGAUUACGAAUAGAAGCCGAAGGUUUUGCAUAGGAUAACACUUGUACUUAUGGUACAGUUGGAUGUUCCUAUGACAAAGUUGUUCAUGAGUCCGCAUAAGCGGGAGGAUAGGGAGUUGAUCAACCUGCUUCUAGGGAUCCUCUAUUGCCUGAACAUGUUACUAAUUUUCGACUGUGUGCCUAGAGCACCGAGUCGAAGAUACUAAGAGCACAACCUUUCUCUAGGGCGAGCAACUCCCUGACAUUGGAUUAAGGGAUCCAAGAUCUGAAAGGUGACGUUAGAAUAAUCGAAAUCACAAGUGUGGAAAGGAUUAAGAUAGCCUUAAUUCUCUUACAGAAAGAGGCUCGUGUGUGGUGGGAAUACUGUGGUCAAAUCCAAGAAUGAGACCCAGAUGGAUUGAGUAAUCCUACCUAUGGAGAUGGAGAGAGUACUUUGGGGUCUCAUCUCACGUGAGCACGUUUGAGUAGAGAUCUUUCAUUGGAACCAGAAAUGGAUCAUGGUAGAGAGAGAUAGACGAUGCUUACAAUUCGGUAAAAAUGAUCCUUUCUGACAUUCCUCUCAAGGAAUCGUGUUGGCAAUGCUGCUUAUCGAUUCUAGGGAAAGAAGGAAAAUAUCAAGAAGUCAAAGAAUGAGGAUCUUCUUUUGCUAGGAAAGCUAGAAGAGAAUCAAAUCACAAAUGGAAGCGUUUAGCUUUCCAAGGAAGAGCUGGGGGAAACCCGAGUGGUAGAUGCGGGCCCAAUGCUCAUAACCUUUCGAGUGACAGGUAGAAAAUUUCGAGGACGAAAUUUUUAUAAGGGGGGUAGAUUGUAACACCCCGACUCCAAAUUUAACCCUUAUUUAAAUUAUGUAAAUAUUUAAGGGCAUUUUGGUCAUAAUUUAUAUUUGAAUUGUUAGGUUAGCGGGUUUGGCAGUUGGUUGAGAAUUAUUGGAAGGCCGAAGGCCAUUUAUGUGGAUUGCAUGAAAUUAUAUUGUGCAUGCUGCCAGUUGUGAAUAUUAAAUGCGUUUUAAUGCAGGUUGACGUUUUUGGGAAAUGUCCAAUUUAUAGGGGAGACUCUGCCGAAAUUUCGGCAGGAAGUCUCGAUCUUUAGUAAGUGGGCCUGGCAUCGGGGUGAUGUCAGGAAUUCCAAAGGGUUCACCUCGGGUUUCAAAAAAUUCGGGGAGGGUCCUUUCAUCUACCUAUCUUCAUAUAUUAUCACUCAAACCAAGCUCCAAGAGUUUCUCAUAUUUUGAAACUAAGGGUCACGUGGUUGGUUACAUCCCUCAACCUGUUUAAUUUUUUAGAUGAAUUAGUGGGUAAGACAAGGACUAAACCGGUUGAGGCUGAAUUAGAUGAGAGUGAUAAAACUUUAUUUAUUUCUUGUAAAGUUGUAAGAUUUUGGGUCUAUUUUUAUAAGAGAAGUUAUAUUUUGGCUUCUUUUUAUUUUUAUUUUUACUUUUUUUUUUCUCACGUACCGGACACGGGGUUUCCACCGACCCCCAGGUCCGGGGCGUGACACCCAGUCCAUGUAAAGUGGGGUGAUACCAAUUGCAUCUCAAGCAGCAAUAUAACUGUUGUCUCUCAUGUCAAGGAGGACAAAGGAUAACAUGCCAUCCAACAUGUCCACAAACUCUUCCCCAUGUUCUUCAUACUGCCAAAGAUAAAUGUUAAUAUGAUGCAGAACAACAAGAACAUAUAGGAAGAAAAACGAGAUUCGGACUCAAAUUGGCUUUUGGCAUCUCACCAAAGGUGUCCAGUAGAGAAACUAGAAAGACUCUACUAAAAUUUGAAGGUUUCUCAUGCAUCAUCAUGAAAAACUAUAAUAAGAAUAUACAGAUAAUACGAACAGGAAUUCACAAUGCCUUUUUUUUCUUUUGUUAACUCUAGUUUUAAAAGCUUACAAAGUAGCCUCUUUUAUAGGAGGUGUAGAGUGAUGAAAAACCUAAAUUUUGGGGCAAAGGGAAAUGCUUUACUGAUAGAUGAAAUCACUCACAAUCGUCGACUUAAGAAUCGUAUGAGCGUCUAUAGGUGUAUAAAAUCAAACUUGAAAACUUAGAAAUUAACCCAAACUAAUUACACUAAUAGCUAGAGAGUGAUGAGGAGAUGGAUAUCCAUACCUCACUUGACGAAAACAGUGGCUGGAGUCGCCGAAAAUAGUGACUGAAAGUCAAAAACCUCUUGAACCUUUCGAAGCUCGUCGCGACUCAGGGAGGGCAAGGGUGGCUGGGCUUUAGCCCUGGCCGAAGCGCCGGCCUUGGUCGGAGAGUCUGAGAGAGAAAAAGACAAUGAUGGAGGAGAGAGAAGAAAGAGAGAGUUUGAGAGGGACUGAAAAAAAAAAAAAGAGGAAGAGGGAACUGAAAAAAGUGAGACGGAUACGGAAGUUAGGGCGAGAGUUUGAGAGGGAUUGAAAAAAUUGAGAGGAAGAUGGAAUCCAGUGCGAGAGUUUGAGAGAGAGAGAGCGUGAAAACUUUUGGACUGGCGUUGACUACCUUUUAGGCAUUUGUGAUUAUGAGAGAUUAUGCUAAAGGGGAAUCAAAGGCAUCGUCAUAAAAAACCAAAAUUCGUAUUGAUGUCUUUGUACCUGUAUAGUAUCAUUAUUUAUAAAAUCGAUGCCUAAUGUGCUAAUAGCAUCAAUUUUUUGUUUUUCCGAUGCCUAUGUAGUGUUGCUGAAAGUGAAAUUUGGCAUAGUGUGUUCACUAAAGCUAUACAAGUUGCUGGUUUUACUCAGUCCAAAGUUGAUUAUUCGCUUUUUACUUGCAAAAAUGGCAAGUCAUUCACCACCCUUUUGAUCUACGUCGAUGACAUCAUGAUUACAUUAAAUAAUUUGUCUACCAUUAAUGCUCUCAAGCGAUUACUUAAUACUUGUUUUAAGAUCAAAGACCUUGAUGAUCUUAACUCUAUUUUGGGCAUUGAGGUCUCACGUUCGAGGAAAGGUAUUUCUAUUUGUCAAAGGAAAUAUGCAUUGGACAUUCCAAAAUUUCUUUUGAUACAAGAGAGAUACUUCAUGAUCCAGCAAAGUAUAUAAGGUUGGUGGGACGCUUAAUUUAUCUCACCAUAACAAAACCUGAUAUUAUGUAUUCAAUACAUAUACUCAAUAUAUUUAUGCAUGAGCCUCGCAAUCCACACUUAGAUGUCAUCAUGACAGUUUUUAAGGUAUCUAUACAGUACCCCAGGACAAGGACAUUUUUUUCUUGCUGGAAAUGAGAUGAAGUUGAUGGCAUACUGUGAUUCAGAUUGGGUGGGAUGUCCAACAACACAGAGGUCAACAAGUGGCUCUUGCGUGUUCCUUGGCAAUUCUUUGAUCUCACGGAGAACAAAAAGACAAAAAAACAGUAUCUCUUUCUUCAGCAGAGGCUGAAUAUCAAGCAAUGAUAGGUGCUUGCUGUGAAAUUGCUUGGUUGCGUUAUAUAUUGCAAGACCUGCAACUCCCAGACCCAGGACUAGCUAUUUUACACUGUGACAACCAAGUUGUGUUGCACAUAUCCGCCAAUCUAGUGUUCCAUGACAGAACUAGACACAUUGAAAUGGAUUGUCAUUUUAUUAGGGAUCAAAACUUGGAUGGAACAGUGUUGUGAAAUUAUUGCAAGCGCAUAAUCCACACAAGUAAUAUAGAGAUAAGUGAAAUGUCGUUCCCAUGAAGCCUGUAAUUUCCUUUUAGUACCAAUUAUAAUUAAUUCAUAAGUUUAUUUGAACAAUUGAUUAAUGAGAGUGAUUGAUUUAUUAAACUAAGUUAAAACAAAUAUGAAAAAUAGUAAUUUAAUUAACGGUGGAAAAUUUGAUGAGACACUAGAGCAUCCGAUUUCACCAUAACCAAUUCCACUUCAUUCUUAUAGCCAAAUAACCAUAAUUACUACCCAUGUUGACAGUUGAUUUCUCAUAAUUCAUUCGAUAUCCCCUCUCCAACUCAAAUAAUGAACAACCCAUUCUUUCUCUCGAGCAACGGAUUUAGAAAAAUCAAGAACCCAUUUAGUUCUAUGAGAACAUGCAAAAAAACUGCAUGAGUCAUGUUAGUCCCUAUAGGGCACUCAUUGAAGACAUGAUAUUUGUUACGAGAAGCAAACAUCAAACAUCUCCUCUCGGUCUCCGCUUGGAUCAUCAAAACAAUUAAAUAUUGGACAGAUAUUCAAAGCAUUAAGAAUAGUAACAAAUACUCAACAUGAAAUAGUAAUAAGAAAUUAAUAUAACUAUAAAAAUUAAGUAUUCAUGGUUAGGCUACAUCGUAGCCCUAGCAAGGAAAAUUAGUUCAUGACAAAAGAAAAGAAAAACAAAAGAAUUCUUGUCAUAAAACAUAUUUUGCAGAUGGAUUUGAUCUUUCGAUUCUCCACAGCAACACCUUCGUAAGCUCCAAAAGCACCGCGGCAGCAACUCUUGGCUCUCUUUCUAAUAUAUUUGUGGGUGUAUUGAAAUAUGGUGAAAAAAUAUAUGGUAUCAAGAUGGUCCAGAGAGAGAGCUUAGGGUGACCUUAUAUAGUUUAAAACAACUAAACCCUACUCCAAUAAGGGCUAGAAAAAAUCUCCUAAAGCAAAACAAAAUCCCAAAUAAUUAAGGAAACAAACUAGGAAACAAUCAUUCUUUGACUUGAAAACACGUCAGCCAACUUCACACACUUUUUGGGGUAGUUUCACUUCCUAGAAAAUUCUGGGAAAAUAUGAGAACUGUAGCUUGAUCUCUAAGCUUUCCAAGCAUAAAUCACAUACCUCUAGAAAAAAUCAGAAAGGUCUUCAAAUCUUCAAUCUUCCAGAGCAGUGCAGUUCUGAUGGGAUUUCAACUUAGACUGUCUUGACUUGCAAGUCUACAGCAUUUGGCUUGGUAUAAAAUUAUGAAACUUUGAUACAAUGAUCUUCAAUGCCUUAGUUUCUUCUCCAAUUGGCCUUGCUCUAAAAUUCAUUCUAAAAGUCGAUUUUUAGUCGAAAUCCUUUCAAGAGCGUAGAAUAGCUGAAAAUAAGAAAAGUAAGGUAAUAAUGCUCUUUUUAAUUAACUUCUCCUACAAAAACCAAAUAUAAGAGGUAUAAAAAUAUAGGAAAUAAUGCAUUUAUCAAACAAUAAUUACAAGAUAUAUUUCAUCUCAAUAGCAAGUAGCAGACGUGUUUACAAAGGCCUUGGGCAAAGAAGAUUUUUUGACUACUGUGUGCGAGUUGGGAAUUCACAAUAUUCACUCUCCCACUUGAGGGGGAGUGUUGAGAAGUCAAUUAAAUCCCAAUACAUUAGGGAUUGAAUGAUUAACCAAAUUAUAUUUAAUUGAUUGUACAUGAUUUGCUUUCCUUUUGGCCCCGUUUGGUGGGUUGACUUGGAAUCGUUAGGAUAGGCCUUGAAGCAUUGGACUGGGCUGGCUUGGACUGGCUAAGUUUUGAGUCAUGUCCUACUCAUUCUUGCACACAACAGACUGGAACUCACUUAUCUUUUUUAAUAAAUCAAAAUUUUAUUUUAAUUUUUUUAUUAACAAUAUUCCAACUCUUUUCCAGUAUCUUUCUUUAUAAGCUCAAAAUCAUCUCUUUAUCAAAUAAAAUCAUCUCUUUUUAAAAUAAAAUAAAAAAUCAAAACACUUUUUCUAUUAUUUAAACUUUACAAGAAGAUAAUUACAAGAGAGAAAUAAAUUUUAGUUAGCCAAAUACAAAUUGUAAUUUGGAACAAAAGACGAAAAAAAAAUCAAUGGAAUAACUUUCAAAUUCAAUAAAACACAAACUAAAGAACAACACUUAGAAGAAAAAAGAAGAAGGAAUUAUGCAAAUUAUGGAACCCCAAUACCAGAUCUGAAAAAAUCUUCAAUGAAAAGGGAAAACAGACCCGAAAAGAUCUUCAAUCAAAAGAAAUCAAACGCAAAAGAAGAAAAAAAAAACAAAGCACUCAACAUCAUCAACACAUCUCAAUAUCUAACAACAAAAUCGAAAAAGGAGUUCUUUCAAAUUAUCAGAGAAGAGGAGAAUAGAGAGGGGAGAGGGGAAGAGAAAGGAGAAUAGAGAGGGCAGAGGGGAAGAGAGAGGAGAAGAGCAAGGAGGGAGGGGAAGAGAGAGGAGAAGAACUUUAGAAGAGGCUUGUUUGGUCUCGCUGAGAGAAGAGGCGUGCUCGGUCUCGCCAAGAGAAGAGAGAAGAGGCUUGCUUGGAAAAGCCUCAGAUUCUAAACCCAUAUAUGGGCUUGGGUUCUAGAGCCCUAGUUAUUUGGGACAUGGAUCCUAGACCUGGCAAACGGAUUUUGGGUCAUGUUCAUGUCAACCCGUUUGACACGACACAACCCCUUAAUUUAACAGGUGAAAAAUACCAGACCCAAAUACGACCUGUUACAAUUCGCAAAUGAUCUGACACGACCCGUUAAGAAUAAACCAAAAAAAAAAAAAAAACACAGCCAACAACCACUCUCUCUGUCCUUUUUCCCUAAAUUUCCAUCUCAUAAACAACAUCCAGAAAACUUACAUAAAGAAAAACAAGAAGAGAAAAAAUGGUUGAUUAGAUUAGAUUAUUUAUAUAUAAAAAAAAGACAGAGAGGAAGAGAUGAGAGAUGCAGAUAAGAAGAGAAGAAAAGAAAAAAAGGAGAGAUGGAGAAUGACAGAAAGAGGAAGAAGAAAAGAUAUAAAAAAAAAAGGUGGAGAGAAGAAGAAGAGAUAGUGGGGGGUCACAAGAAGAGAAAAAAAUGGUUCAUUAGAUUAUAUUAGAUUAUUUAUUAUACAAAAAAGAUAGAGAGGAAGAGAUGAAUAAGAAGAGAAGAAAAUAAAGGAGAGAUGGAGAAUGGCAGAAAGAAGAAGAAGAAAAGGAAAAAUAAAAAAGAGACGGAGAAAAGAAGAAGAAGAUAAGAGAGAGUGGGAGGUGAGAGACAGUAAACGGAGAAAGGAAGGGGAAAGAUGGAAAAGGAAUAUAAAAAAUAAAAUAAAAUAAAGAGAGAGGGAGGGAGAGAUGGAGAGAGAAGGAUAAGAACCAAAAAAAGAGGAAUGGUGUUGGAGGAGACUUGUGAUAUUUUUUAAAAAUACAUUUAACAAAACUACCAAAUUACCCUCCUUAAUGGGCGGAUGUGAAUAUUCGCGAAUUGACCCGACUCAACUCGUUACCUUAACGGGUGGCUAACGAGUUCAACCAUUUUCAACUCGACCCAUGAAGCUCAACCCAAAUACUGAUAAUUUCGUACGAAUUCGUGUCGUGUUAACAGAUCGUGUGCAAUAUUGUCCAGUCCAAGACACUUAAACUCACCAAACAAUGGCUAGGACCCAUGUCCAUUUUAAUUGAGAAUAUCCGAUCUCGGCCUAGUUUGGGAUUGCUGUCACUUUUAAAAAAAGUUGCUUCUUUUGUACUUUGAAAAUAAUUAGCUGUAAAGUAAAAUAGCUUCAUGUUUGGUAAACAAUAUUUUUAAAGUGCUGUUAGUACAAAGAGCAGUGUCAAAACCGUUUGAUAAAUUUUAAUAUAAAAUUGUUGUAACUGUGAAUAAUGACUAAAAUAAACAUGAUGUUGAAAGUGUUAUGUACUAAUCAUAUGGUGGUAGUGGUGGUGAUGGAGUGGAGGUGGUGGUGGUGAUGAAAGUGGAGUUGGUGGUGGUGGUGGCGGCAGUGGCAGGCAUGGAGGUGGUAGCGGGUGUUGGCUGUGGAGGUGGUGGUGGUGGUGGUGGAGGUGGAGGUGGAGUGGUGAGGAGUGUUGGUGGUGGUGGUGGUAGUGGCAGAGGAUGAGGAUGAGGAGGAUAUAGUGAUGGUGGUGGUGGUGAUGGCGGCGGUGGUUAUGGAGGUAGUGAAUGUGGUGGUGCAAGUGGUGGAGUUGGAUGUGAAAGUGGAGGUGAAGUCAUUUUUUAACAUGAAUGAUGAUAUUUUGGGAAUUAAAAAAAUUCAUUAAAGAUUUAUCUCAGCUUCUUUUGAAAGCAGCUUUGAAAAAUAACCCAGAGCCUGUUUUUAAAAGCUGUUGUCAAAAGGCCACUGCUUUUAAAAUAAUUGAGAUAUUUUAUUUUUACCAAACACCUUAAACUACUUAACUUUAAAGUGAAGCAGGUUUUUAGCGAAAAAAAGUAAUCCCAAACGGGACCCUAGUCCAGUCCACCAAAUAAGGCCUUAUUAGUCUCUUAAUUGUAGAAAAACCUGUAUAUAAAUACUCUAACAUUGUAAAGAGAAAAUCAUCCAGUAAUCAAAUAUUCUUCCCUUGAUUACAAUUUUACAAACUUGGUCAAACUGUAGCGAAGUCAAAUAUGAACAGAGGCACCUGAUGCAAGCGGAUCGAUGGAGUCGGCUCCCAUUCAACAUAUCUUAUCCGUUUCAAAUGUUCCCCAGUGAAAAACGUUGUCCUGAAAAAAUAGGAAAGCCCAAACUUCAUCUCGAAAAGAAAGACAUGAAAUAUGAACAUAUAUUAAUAUAAAAGAUGAAAAGAUAGCCACCACUUUUCUCAAUGGGCAUCUCCAAAAGCAGAAAACAUGGCUGGCCUAAUAAUCAAAUACCAUGAUGACUUUCAAUUGGCAAAAAAAGUUUUGUCGUUAUGGANNNNNNNNNNNNNNNNNNNNNNNNNNNNNNNNNNNNNNNNNNNNNNNNNNNNNNNNNNNNNNNNNNNNNNNNNNNNNNNNNNNNNNNNNNNNNNNNNNNNCCACACAAACCCAAUAGAGGAAUCUCAUUUAAUUCCCCAUUUUCACACCAUAAUUUAACUUAACACACACACACACACACACAUAUAUAUAUAAAGAAUUAAUCUUAUCUUACAUUAAGAGAUAUCUCAAACUAAUAACAUGGGGAACACAAUUGGAGGAAGAAACAAAGCAAAGGUGAUGAAGAUCAGUGGGGAAACCUUCAAGGUCAAAACCCCAAUAAGAGCAAGGGAUGUGGUGAAGGACUAUCCAGGCCAUGUGCUUUUGAACUCAGAAGCUGUAAAGCACUUUGGUGUGAGAGCAAAGCCAUUGGAACCGCAACAAGACCUAAGGCCCAAGAAAAUAUACUUCCUAGUACAACUGCCAAAGUUUCCAGAGGAAGAGAAACAAGUGCCGAGAAGAGUGCGUUCUGGCAUUCAAGUGAGUGCCAAGGACAGGCUUGAGUGCCUGAUGCUGUCUCGAAGGUCAGUUUCGGACCUUACGAGUGUCCGAGCCGCGUCGGCCGGCUCGGAAGGUCCGGUUAGGAUGAAGGUUAGGGUGCCGAGGGCUCAAAUGGUAAAAUUGGUUGAAGAGAGCAAUGAUGAUGCGGAAAUUGCUGAGAGGAUUAUAGAGCUUUAUAUGGCUAAUAAUGGUGGGAAGGUGGAAGCGGACAUGGCGGAGGAGGAGGGCGAACAAGGUGUUUUGCGGCAGCGGAAACCGGCCGGCCACGGUGGCAUCAGAGUCAAAGAGAACCUCAAGCCGCGGCAUGAGGUAUUAUCUUUUUCCUCAUUUGUCUGCUUCCUUUCCUUCAACAAAAAAACAAAGAAGAUAUUUAAGUUACUUUUUUCUAUUUUUUAGUGGGGAAAACCACUCGAUUCACGUGAUGCACUUGCUAAAUAGAAGCACUUACUAAAAAUCUGCUUAAUUAGAAGCACUUCCUAAAUACCAAUUUUUUUUUUCAUAAAGUGUUGUCUGAAUAGGCAUCUAAAAGCUUUAUAAAUUUUUAAUCCUCAAAUUUGAUGGGGUGAUAAAGUUAAGAGUAAUUUUGUAUAGAAUGAGCUUUAGGAGGAGGAUAUUAACAAGUGAAACAUUAUAAUCACACAUCAAUUCUUUAAUACCAAUAAUACUUCAACAAGUACAUGGAAAACGUCACAAGAAUAUAUGGCAUUGUUCCUUCUUCCUACCCUAAUUAGUUUUUAAUACACUCAGAUUAGAUGGAACUCAAAUUUGACUUAUGAGGGCUUGUACAAUUUUCUAUUUUUGUCAACUCUGCCGUUAUGAGAGAUAUGGAGCUUUACUAAUUUCUUUAUUGUAAAAUAUAUAAUAGAUUAUUAAAUAAAAGUUUCUAUGUCGUAUAUAGGGUGGCACCACAUUAGAAAAGUGGGUCAAUCUCUUUUCCUCCCUUUAAGUACAUUCGGAUUCGAUUCACGUAGGAGACAAUCUUGAGGUAAUCCAAUAUAAUAUUUCCCCUCCCCCUCCCUAGCGAAUGACAAAAAAAUAAGCCUCUAUAUCAAAGCCUUAGAAUGUAAUUAAAUGGGAAUGUACACAUGUGGAUAAGUACGUGAAAUUUCUCUUUUGGGGUUGCUAUAGACAAAUGGUUAGGUGACUCAGAGUUUUUUUAAAUAUUUGAUCUCUUUUAAGGGUAUCCUACACUUGAUGACUCUAAUAUUGUAGUGAAGGCGUCUAGAGGAGGGGUCUUUACACUAGGAGGAGCCCUGCAAUGAGAAGGGGAAGGGAAACAUGGAUCCCCAGGAAAAAAAAAACAAAAACAAAAAAAAACAAGAGGGGGUUGGGGGUGGGGCGGGAGAGGGAGAAGUUGGUCACUCCAAAUAGCAUUAUUCUAUCUCACUCGGCAAUUUAUGCCAACCACAAAUGUUUUGGUAGUUGUACAAUGCACCGACAUGCUCAUAACCUCCCACAAAAAUGGUCAAAUGUUUUUUUUAAUUGGCCGGUAAAAUGGUCAAAUAUUUGAUAUAUUCCCGAUCGUUAACAAAUACCAGUCACAAUUGUCUACGUAGUCUCUUGCUUUAUGACAUUUUUGGAAAGUACUUGUCUGCAGAUUGUUCUACUAAAUAAAUAUUAAAUACAAUGUCAUGGAAGCAAAGUAGCCAUGGGGGAAAGAGCAGUACAUUACAUCAUGGAGUCGAUUAUUCUUGUUGGAUCUUUUCUGCCUAAAAUUUACCAUCUAAAAUUCAAACUAUUUUUUUAAAAUGCAUAUGUUAUAUUUUAUACUCGUGGCAUAAUAUUAUUGAAUUUGUGAGCUCCUCGUACGUGCUACUUCUGCAAAUUGAAAAAUUCUUUGACGGAAUCCAUCAGCAGAGACAAAUAUAGUUAUUUGUGACUGCUACAUUCAUACAUUUUCUUUCUUUCCAGAUACAAUCAUACUUUUUAUGGUUUUAUAUGAGUAGUUUACUACAUCAUAUUGUUGCAGACAAUAUAUCUUACAUGAAUUACAUAUGAAUUUGCAGAAGCGAGUGAGUUUUGUUCCUGUGGAAGAAGGAGAAAUUCGUUUAGAUACAGCUCCUCAAUAGCAGCCAAUCAGAAAGUCACAAAAAUUGCAAUCUACCUUCACCAGGCCUUCUUUACUGGUGCCCUUAAUUUGUAUAUAUAUGAAACAUACUUUCUUUUUGCAUAUAUAGUAUGAUAUUAUUAGCUCCUGUAAAAUUAUUACUUUGUUAACAUCUAGUGGCUCUUUUAUGGAAGACAGGUUUUCUGUCUCAAAAGAGCUUCUCAUGUUGGUGGGGAUGUAUAAAUUAUAAUUUGCCCAAUUCAAAGUGAUUCUCAACUCAAAUGUGUUCCCGCAUUUUUUGUGUAGUGAAAGGGCGAUUAGAGAACAUGCAUACACAACAUAUCAGUGUUCCAAAAUAUAUGUAUUUACGCAUUUUACGUUGUAUGCCAUCUCCAUUAAUAUAUAGAGAGGAAUAGAGCCGGUCUUGAGUUUUCUAGGAUUUGGGGUGAAAAUCUAAAUUGUGCACCUCUAUUAUAAAAAAUAAAAAAUAAAAAAAAAAUCAGUGACAUUCAAAUAGGAACUGACCAUAAAUUUAAAAAACCAAGAUUAAUUCAAAUCAAAAAACAAAAUAACAUACCUACGUAGAGACUAUAGAAUCAGAUAGAACUUUAACCUGCUAGUCUCAAACAUGUGACAUGUAUAUAAUAAAAAAAUAACCAAUAAACUAGAAUUAGUUCCUCUAAAAUUGUAGCUGCACUCUAAUAGUUUUAAAGUUAGUAAGUCAACGGGGUCUAACCUAGUAGAAAAGGGCCUUGAUUUGCAAACAAGAAGUCUCAUGUUCGAAUUCUCAUGACAUCUUAGUUGUGUGUGUGUGUGUGUGAGAAAUCUAUCUUCCCUUUAGUUUAGACUAUCGCUUGUAUUAAAAAAAAAUUAGUAAGACCCGUGAAUGAACAAUGCCCUUGGAACUAUAUAUGUGAAUGACAAAUUUAUCAUUAAUAUGGUUUAACCAAUGUAAUUUUUGUAUCAUUUUCAUAUAUUUUUCAAUAAAAGUACUCUUCAUAGAAUCAAUGAGUGCUAAAUUUAAUUAAUUAAUAUUACUUAAGGAAAUAUUUAUAUUUGAUUAAUAGAGGGUGAGAGAAUAUGUAUUCAUUAUCAUAGCCUUAACUACCCAUGAUACCAUUUGGAAACGAACGCAUCCAUAGGUACCCUCCACUCCCCAUCCAUCUCUCCCUGCUCAGCACACCUCAUCACUGGCCCAGUUUCUCUCUUUCCUCCCUCAUUCCAACAUUAAUCCAUGUUCACACCUAAUCGCCCUAAACGCUCCCGUAUUUCUCGAAAGGUAUGUAGAGUUUUGACUAGGAUGCUUACAUUGCACCGCCUACGUUCAUGUUGGUUUAUGUUGGCUUUGUUGGUUGUGGGCUGGUUGUUGGCUUUGUGGUUGCAGUCUCUUUGGUGCGAUUUUGGGUUCCAUCAGUGUGAAGUGGGCUCUUUUGGGGAUUUCUAGCUUUUUUGCAUGUUCAGUUUUAGGGUUUUGCGUUGGUUGAUUUGGGGCUUUUUUGCAUGUGGGGCAACCACACUUUCAUUGCUUCAUGCCAGAAUUUGCUAGAAUUUGGGCUUUCUGUUUUGUUUUGGGUCAUGUUUUGACAUUUUCGUUGUUCGACUUUGUUUCUAUGCUGGCUAAGUCUUUUGGAUUAGAACAUCUCCACGUAUAAGUUCUUUUCUCUUUCAAGGGAGUAGGCAUUCAAGUAGGAAAAAAUUUCAUAUGUUGCCUACUUAAAAAGCAAUAGGUAUAAUAUACUGCAUUGCAAACUCCCACACAACUAUACUUUGGUGCAUUGCAAACUCCCUUGAAGUGACAAAUUUUUUGAUAAGGCAAAUCGGUAAGAUGCAUGUCACCUAACAAGGGCGGAAUCAUGAAUUUUUCAAUUGGUGGGCUAGCUAAAUUUUUUAACUAAAAUAAAACUUUGCAUUAAAUCAUAUAAACCAUGCUAAUAACAUAUAGUAAAUCAAAUAAAAGUAUAAACCACGCAAAGUAUGCAUUAAAUAAUAUGUUCAACAACAUAAUUAAAAGUGUAACUUAUUGAAGUUGUGCCCUGCAAUCCUUGAGAGAAUUGAAAUCUUUUGUUAUUACAUCUGAAUUGAUAUUGUUAGCAAGUUCUUUUUCAAUGUAGAGAACCAUAGAAUAUGCUAGAAACUCAUUCUCCAUCAUGCUGCAAAGCGUUGUUUUAACAAGUUUCAUAGCUGAAAAAGCUCGUUCAGUAGUUGUCGUAGAAACAAAGAGAGUUAGCACAAGACGGAUCAACCUAUCAAUCAAAUGAUAUUUUUUUACCUUUUUUUUUUUUGUGGUUACAAUAUGUUUUUUACCUUUUUGUUUCAACUAAUCCCCGACAUAAUUCAGAGAGUGUAGACACUUUUUGAAGUACAAGAUGAUGAUGUACAUCUACCUCGUAAAGUUUCAAGUGGCAUCUCAAAAUAUGUAACUAUUUUUGGAGUGAAAUCUUGAUGAUAAAAACUCUCUGCAAGGCUGCAAAUUUUAUCAAUGUUAAAUGAUUUAAAAGACUCACUAAGGUCUAAAGCUGAACUAAGAAUAAGAAGUUCCAUUGCCCCUUCACUGACCUACUUGUAAGUGUAAGGAUUUUGUAAUUUUCUUUUGGCUUCCCUUGACAAUUUUGUAAUAGGACAAUUAUUGUAUUUCCUCAAGCUCUAGUUUAGAUUAAGAAUUACAUCUCUAGGUGUUCUUAUAUGGCUGCAUUAUGAUGGACAACAAUGUGUUUGACAAAGGUAAGUUUUGCAUUGCAUUACAGUGCAUUAACUAAAUUCCUGAAAAUUAUGACUAGUCAUCUUUCUUUCGUAUGACUAGUCAACUUUUGUAUUGUUAGAAUUUCUAGCUCACUGUUUCCAGCUGGACCCUACCCUUUUGUAUUUUGUCCUAUUCUGCGAAAUUCUCUACUGCUCUGUACGAUUCUAACCUAGGAAUUUUGGUGUAAAAACAAGUGCAUUCCUCCUUUGGCAGCUGUCACUUUGGUAGGCAAGUUUUGAAAAGUUUCUUUGCAAACUUUCUCUUCUUCCUCAAGAGUAACCUUCAUAUUUUUCAUCUUUGAGUUUUCCAAAUUGUUUUUUUUCUGAAAACUACAUUUGAAAUAUGAAAACCUCAUCUUGCUAGAUCAAACAUUCUCUCAUAUAUAUCUAGGUCAGAUUCAAAAUUGAUUUCUUCAGGAGUAUGGUUUCUUGAAGAAAUUGGUCAUUCUCCCUUUGAAUCCAAAUUUCAUUUUUGUUUGAGUUGAAGCUAGCCAACUGGUGCCAUGGGAUGAAAGAGCUGAAGAAGGAGCUGCCAUUGCCAUGAAGACCUAAGCUGCUGGUUUUGCUAAGCUGAAGAAGAAGAUUGCACAAAUGAGGUAAAGCUCAUCUUCCUAGAUACACCUAUGAUUUCUUGAGCUUGCUAGUGUUUCUUUGUAAGAAUCUUUUUGCUUAGUGGAUUGCCUGGUCGGUUGAUGAUCCCCAGUUUUUCCCAAUGGUGGGUUUCUGGGUGAACAAUUUCUGGUUUGCAUCUCUGUAAUUUUCUGGGUUUGUGUUCUUGAUAGUUGACUAGUCAUCGCAUGAUGUUCAUGUAUUUCUAGGUUUGUGUUCUUGCGGUUGACUAGUCAUCAUUUCCUGCUGUUUGGUGUUUACUUGAUUACGAUGUCUUCACACACUUUCACCAUAGUUGUUGCUAGCACAAGGGAUGCCUAGAUUGACGGGUCCUUCUGAGUGCCUAGGUUGUCACUAGUAAUUGUCUAGGCUUGCAGGUACAUCUUGGUAUGCUCUGUGUAUGUUCUUGGUUGUGGUAAUUCAUCUAUGAUAGUUGACUAGUCAUAAGAGUAUCUAGUCAAAGUCUAAAGUAUGUGAAGUUUGUUGUGUCUUACUUGAAUAUCAUUUAAAUCCCAAACCUAGGUCGGAAUGGACUGAAGCAGAAUCUUAGUUACUGCCCUAUCUAGCAACAGUUUUCACACCUCCAACACAUUCCUAAGGCUAAAUAGGCUUGGGACAAACUAAGGGUUGUUCAUGAAGGGGAUGACCAAGUUUGAAUACUUAAACUUCAAAUGGUGCUUGCACAAUUUGAAGAACUUAAGAUGUCUGAAACUGAGUCUAUCUCUGAUUUCUAUGGAAGAGUUGAGAUGAUCACAAAUGAAGCUAUGAGUCUUAGUCAACCUAUUGAUGAACUUCUUGUUGUUCAGAAGAUUCUACGUGUUCUUCCUUCUAGAUUUAGAGCAAAGAAACCCGCAAUCAUGGAAGUCCAAAAUUUGAAUGAAAUUAAACUUAGCAAACAUAUAGGCAAACUGAAAACCUAUGAGAUGGAGUUGAAUAUGGAAGAAAAUGUCACUAAAAAAUCAAAGAGUGUUGCACUUCAAGAAGUCAAUGAUUCCCCAAUUAAGGGUGGAGAAAAAUCCUUAGCUUUCAAGGAUGAGAUGGCCUUGUUUGUCAAAAAAUUUAGAAGAAUUCUCAAGAAUAAGGGGAAGUUUGCUAGAGAGGAGAGCUCUGGUAGUGAGAGAAAGUUUAGACCAUCAACUAAUCGGUUUAAUGAACGGAACAAGGAUGUCAAAUCAUUCACUAAAGAUUUUAGAAAAUCUGUCAAAUGCUUCACAUGUGGAGGCAUUGGGCAUUAUGUUGUCGAUUGUGCAAACAACCAGAAAAAAUACUCCAAAGGAAAGGACAAAGCCAUGAAAGUGAGCUGGAGUGAGAGUUAAAGUGAUGUGUCUCAAGGGGAUUCAUCAUCCUCUGGGAAUUAGAAAUCAAACCAAGAAGCUAAAUAAAGCCCGGGCCUUUUUAGCAGAUUGUGAAUAUAGCCCUAGUCUAAAAAUAUAAAAUACCAUUAUUGGCCAUUUUUAGAAAAAAAAAAAAAAAAAUCUCACUCUACCCAAGGAAAAAGCAAGUUAGCAGAUCUUUCUAAAAAUAGGUUUCUCUCAAGAAAUCCCAUGUGACUUUCUGACCUUGGAAAAGGUCAAAAUUUUCAACUAUCACAGAGGAGGUGAUAGGGAGUUAAUGAAGGCAGGUCUUACAGGAGGACUUCUCCAUUUUUUGCAGCCAAGAAACGAAUCAAAUCCCCUUUUCAUAUAUAGAGAAGCUCUGCACCAAAGCAAGUUACCUUUUAAAGAGAUAAGCAGGCUACGUUUUCAAGAGAUAAGUAGGGAGCAAGGAGGUUGCUCACCAGAAAAAGCAAACUGACUAUCAUCACAGACUGUAUUCUUUUUUAUAAAGAACAAACAAGGAACAAAAGAGAGUUGGUUUUCUUUCAGAAAAAGCAAGGAAAAGACCACCAUGAAAGUUGAUUGUUGAUAGUUCUACUCUGCCAAAAUAAAUAAACUUCCCUCUUUUAUGGCAUUGAGAAAGGAAGAUCUUUUGAAAGAUCUGCAGCCCAUUAUUAAAUAUUAGAAACCCCACUCUAGCAUUUCCUAUAAAUAUGAGAGGAGGUGAACAGAUCAAAAGACAGCCAAAAAAUCAAUCAAGACAAAAACUCUCAAAGUCACAACUGACAAAUCCAAAAAGAUCAACUGAUCUCAAAAGCUUUCAGACACUAAAGCAACCAAAGCUCUUUGAUCCACAAGAAACAAAUCAGCUAGAAUUCAAAUCUCUGAUUUUAGUUCAGCUCAAAGAAACAGUUUUACAAAAUGAGUCUUCUCUCGUUACAAAUUUGGUUCAACACAAGCCAAGUCAAGCAGAGUUCGGGUUUUUACAAUGUGAAAACCUCAGCAAAUUUACAGAAAGCCUUAGUCAAGCAGAACAGGUACCAUAGCACAGUUCCAGCUCAGUAACCAUCAAUCCAGCCACUUAUGUCCUCUUUAGACUAAAGAGGCCUUAAUUCUGCCCGUUUAACAAGCCUUCCAUGGUUCGAAAUAAAUUGAAGCUCUGCCAAACUCAAACGUUGGUAUCGAUUUCCAACUGAAACUCAUUAGUUGAAUGUGUUGACGAUUCAAUCCAACAUAGACGUAUCCAGUCCAGCCUAGUUUAGAGGCAGCUACCCAGGCAGAAAUCGAAGUCCAACGUUCUGUUGUCUUUUUGGGAGUUGCCAUUUCUCUCUUGAGUCCUAUAAUAGGCAGUUCUGCCUAGACAGUUUGUCUUUUUAUUUUUAUCAAUUCUAGCCAGAACUACCAGUUUUGUACUGUGAAAAAUUAUGAAUUCCUCAGUAGUCUAAGGCAAGAAAAGAACUUACUUGAGAGAUAUUCCUCACCCAAAUUCACAAUUGAUUGUUUACGAUCAGUCACUUGGGCGCAAGUUAUCUACUUUUUAGAAGUCUGCUAGGAUUUUAAACUGCUAGCAGUGGCACGCUCACAUACAAAAGAAAAUUGACUUGUUGACCACCAAUGGUUGUCAAGCCAAUGGGAAACUUUACCCUACCAUCACAGGACUAAAUCAAAACGGGUGAACACAACAAAUUCCCAUCGUUGCAUAUGUACAACUGUUGUCUAAUGAUUCUACUUCUUAUUCAGAUGACCAGUCAUACGAGUCUUUAGGUAGAAAAUAUAAUUGCUUGUUCAAAGAGACUUUUUCCUUAAAAGAGGAAAAUCUCAAACUUGAGGCUAAUAACCAUGAACUCCAACAUGAAGUUCUCAUUUUAAAAGAAACCAAAAAGGAGUUGAGGGACAAAUUUAAGUCCCUAGAGAAUGAAAUUGUUGAGCUUCUGUCAAUUAGGAGAAAUCUAGAAAAUCAAGUAAAUGUUCUCAAGGAAAGCAACAUUGGUUUCCUCAAGUCAAACAAACAACUCUUAAGUGAAUUGAAUGAGGCAAAAAGUAAGAUUAUAUCUAUGACCAUUGGUGCCUCAAAAAUUGACAAAAUGUUGAAUAUGGGAACAUUUCAUGGGGACAAAUGUGGUUUUGGAUUUAAUCAUUUUGAUUCUUGUGCUUAUAGUUCUACCACUAAGUUUGUCAAAUCUACUAUUCCACCCAUUGCACCUCUUGUUGUACAGCUGGUAGUCAAGAAACCAAAGUUUGUUCCAACUUGUCACAGGUGUGGGUUAACUGGUCAUAUUUGGCCAGUAUGUCAUAUGAACAAAAGAUAUUAGACCAGAAAAUUGUAUUCCAAAUCUAAAAGGAAUUCCAGAUCUUUACAAGAUCAGGUUGAUCAUUUGCUAAAUGAAGUAACUAAGAUUGCCAAACUUGUCUCUCUUAAAAUGAACUCACCCACUGUGCCUAAAUCUACUUGGAUUGCAAAAGGUCAAACCAAAAGUCUUAUUGUACUAAAUGCCUUUGCUGCUUCAAAUACCAACUCAUGGUACAUUGAUAGUGGCUGCUCCAAACAUAUGUCUGGUGAUAAGAGUGUUUUCUCAUCCCUCGGUCCUUUUGAUGGAGACACUGUGUCUUUUGGGAGAGGUCACAAGUCUCAAGUAGUGGGAAAAGGCAAUGUGUGCAUCCCUGGUCUACUCGAGCUUAAGAAUGUUAGAUUUGUUGAGGGUCACACAUCCAAUCUCAUUAGUGUGAGUCAGUUGUGUGAUGAUGGAGUGGUAGGAGUUAGAUUUUCCACGCAUUGCUGCAAAAUUGUUCGAAAAGAAGGUAAUGAGAUUGUAAGUGUGACAAGAUCAAGAUACAAUUGCUAUUGCAUCGAUGGAAGUGAUGAUGCCAAAGAUGUGGUUUGCAAUAAGUUAGUGAAUGAAACUAAUGUCUUGUGGCAUCAAAGACUUGGACACGUGAACUUUAAAGACUUGCACAAAUUGUCCAAAAGAGAGUUAGUGAGUGGUCUGCCAAAGCUUGACAAACUGAUCAACAUGUUUGUGAAGGAUGUCAACUGGGCAAACAAGUUAGAGUGUCACACAAGAAGGUCAAACACAUUCAAACCAAAGUAUGUCUAGAACUUGUUCACAUGAACCUUGUUGGUCCCAUUCAAACCUUGUCCAUUUGUGGCAAGAAAUAUAUUCUGGUCAUUGUUGAUGAUUUCUCUAGGUACACUUGGGUCUCAUUCUUACGUAAGAAAUCUGAAAUAUUUCAAAUGUUUAAAUCUGUCUGUCAUCUUUUGCAAAAAGAGAAGAUGGCUAGUCAUCUGCCUCUUAUUAGAAUUAGAACAGAUCAUGGUUCUGAGUUUGAAAAUUCUUAGUUUCUGAAAUUUUAUGAGGAGAUGGGGAUCAAGCAUGAGUUCUCUGCACCUAUUACACCUCAGCAAAAUGGUGUUGUGGAGAGAAAGAAUAGAGUUCUUGUUGAGAUGGCUAGGGUGAUGCUUAACAGUAAAAAUCUUACCAAACAUUUUUUGGCUAAAGCUGUAAAUACAGCUUGUUACAUCUCAAAUAGGGGGCUUUUGAGGUCUGGUACCAAACAAACUCCCUAUGAGCUUUGGAAAGGCAAGAAACCAAAUGUGUCUUAGAUUAGAGUCUUUGGUAGCACAUGUUAUAUCUUAAGAGACAGGGAACACCUUGCUAAGUUUGACUCUAAAAGUGACAAGGGAAUAUUUCUUGGGUAUUCCACUUCAAGCCGAGACUAUAGAGUGUACAAUUAUAGGACCGAAACCAUCAUUGAGUCCAUAAAUAUCAGUAUUGAUGAUUUUGUUGCCUCUACUGAGAUGGCAUCAGAUGAGGAUGGUCUCUUGUCAACGUUUAGUAAACUAGUUGACCUUUUAACUCUUGACAAUUCAGGUCCAGUUGACCUGUCAACUCGUCAUAAUCAACCUCAGAAUCCCAGCUCAUCUGUCCAUGUUGAAAACUCUUGAGCUGAUUAUAGUCCCAUAACUCAAACAGAGAGUGUCAUUAUUAGUCAUCUGAAUCAGGGAGUGAGAACUAGAAAACAACUCUCUAAGGAAAUUAGCCAUGUGUGUUAUGUCUAAAGGAAGAACCUAAGAAUGUGAAAGAGGCUUUGAACCGUGGAGAAUGGUUUCUUGCAAUGCAAGAGGAGUUAAAUCAGUUUGUUCGCAAUGAUGUUUGGAACCUUGUCCCUAAACCAACCAACACCAAUGUUACAGGCACUAAGUGGAUUUUCAAGAACAAAACUGAUGAACAAGGUAAUGUUGUUAGAAACAAGGCUAGAUUGGUUGCUCAAGGUUACACUCAAAUAGAAGGUAUUGACUUUGAUGAAACCUUUGCCCCUGUUGCAAUUGCCCCUGUUGCAAGGUUAGAAUCAGUGAGAUUACUACUUGCCAUUGCUUGUCACUUGAAGUUUAAACUUUAUCAAAUGGAUGUCAAAAUUGCAUUUUUGAAUGGUAUAUUGCAUGAGGAGGUCUAUGUUGAGCAACCAAAGGGCUUCGAAGAUCCACAUCAUCCUAAUGAUGUGUUUCGAUUGAAGAAGGCACUCUAUGGCUUGAAACAAUCUCUUAGAGCAUGGUAUGAGAGGCUCUCUUCUUCCCUUCUAAGAAAUGGUUAUGUUAGAAGGUCGGUUGACAAAACAUUGUUUGUAAAAAAGUUCAAAAUUGAUGUUUUGAUUGCUCAAGUGUAUAUUGAUGAUAUUGUGGUUGAUUCUACCUCUAACUUGCAUGUUCAAGAAUUCAUACAUGUCAUGACUAGUGAAUUUGAAAUGAGUCUUGUCGGCGAGCUUAAUUACUUCUUAGGUCUUCAAAUCAAACAACACCAUGACGGGAUCUUUGUUUCUCAAUCUAAAUAUGCAAAAAAUCUUGUGAAAAAAUUUGGUUUGGAGGCUGCAAAAUUUGCAAGAACUCCAAUGAGCACUAGUGCUAAAAUUCAUAGAGACUUACAUGGGAAAAGUGUCAACCAAACUCCCUAUCGAAGCAUGAUAGGAAGCCUCCUCUACUUGACUGCUAGUAGACCUGACAUUUCUUAUAAUGUAGGAGUUUGUGCUAGAUUCCAAAGUGAUCCCAAAGAGUCUCAUUUUUUUGCUGUCAAAAGAGUCAUAAAAUAUGUGAAUGGAACCAUUGAUUUUGGUUUGUGGUAUACCUAUAACACUAGUGUCAAUCUUGUUGGGUAUAGUGAUGCCGAUUGGGCUGGGUGUAAUGAUGAUAGGAAGAGCAUUUCUGGGGGAGUCUUUUAUGUUGGCAACAAUCUUGUUGCUUGGCAUAGCAAAAAACAAAACUCAGUGUCAUUGUCUAUACUGAGGUUGAGUAUGUUGCAGCUGGAAGUUGCUGCACACAACUCCUCUGGAUGAAGCAGAUGUUGGAAGACUAUGGUCUUUCUCAAUCAUCCUUCCUCAUCUACUGUGAUAACAUGAGUGCAAUCAAUAUUUCCAAAAAUCCAAUUCAACAUUCCAGAACAAAGCAUAUAGACAUUAGAUAUCAUUUUAUUAGAGAUCUUGUGGAAGACAACAUUUUAACUUUAGAGUUUGUUCCUUCUGAGAAACAACUAACAGACAUACUCACCAAGGCCUUGGACUUUCAAAAACAUGUCACCCUUAGACAGUCUAUUGGCCUUUGCUCAAUUGAUUGAUUAGUAUGUUUGUUCCUUGUCUUCAGCACAUUCCAAAACAGUUGACUAGUCAUCUUGCAUAUAGUUGACUAGUCAAGUCCAAUUUUAAAUUUAAAUGAUAUUCAAGCAAGACACAACAAACUUCACACAAGCGGGCUCGCAUAACAUAAAUUGUACACAUAUACUAAUUUAGUAAACUACUGAGAUAUUAAUUGUUCAUUCUUAGCUAUUUCAUAAAAAAUAUUAUUUAUAUAAAAAUAAAUAUAAAAAUAUAUAUAUAUUAUAAAGAAUAUUUCCAAAAAUAUUGGAUAUUUGAAUAUUAAAUUUCGAUCUAUUUCUCAAAUAUAUGUUUAUCAAUAAUUAAUAUUUUAAUUAGCUUAAUUAAAUAGUAAGAUUUUUUUUUUUUACUAUUCUAUAGUACUAUGUUUUUUUGAUAUUUUAUUAUAUGAAAUAUAUUUUAUUUAGAAUUAUCUUCUAAUUAUAAAUUAACGGAAUGAUUGUUUAUAGCCAUUUUAUUAGUUAUGGCUAGUAAUUAAAUUUUAAAUUAAUAAUACUCAGACCUUGACCAGAUACUCUUAUGACUAGUCAACUGUCAUAGAUGAAUUACCACAACCAAAAACAUACACAAAGCAUACCAAGAUGUACCUACAAACCUAGAGAAUUACUAGUGACAACCUAGGCACUCAUAAGAACCCAUCAAUUUAGGCAUCUCCUGUGCUAGCAACAACUAUGGUGAAAGUGUGUGAAGACAUCAUAAUCAAGUAAGCACCAAACAACAGGAAAUGAUGACUAGUCAACCGCAAGAACACAAACCCAUAAAUACAUGAAAAUCAUGCGAUGACUAGUCAACUAUCAAGAACACAAACCCAGAAAAUUACAGAGAUGCAAACCAUAAAUUAUUCACCAAGAAACCCGCCAUUAGGAAAAAUUUGGGGUCAUCAACCGACCAGGCAAUCUACUAAGCAAAACGAUUCUUACAAAGAAACACUAGCAAGCUCAAAAAAUCCUAUGUCUAUUUAGGAAGAUGAGCUUUACUUCCUUUCUGCAAUCUUCUCUGCCAAUAGAAAUUCUAUUGCAUCAUUGAAUAUGUCAAAGUGAUAAUGAUGCUAAAAUGUAAUAUUGUCCUUUUGCUAACAAGAACGACCUAUUCUCACUUUAUAUUGAGCAUUCAUAUAAGGCUAGGAUACUUUAUUGAAUGGGAAACUAGGAUACUUUAUUGAAUAGGAAAUUAGGACCACACAAGCAAUAGACAUUGAAAAAAAUAAUAAUAAAUUAAUAAAAAGAAACAGCCAGAAUAACACUGGACCACAUAAACACAACAGCCAGCCACCAAUUCCUUGGCCACGUAACUCCCACAAGCCCUCAUAAACACAAUAGCCUCUAAUCGCUAGGCUAGAGCCCACUCUAGCCCAUAUGCUGGUUCCGCCCCUGCCACCUAAGUUGUUAAAAUAUAAUUUUACCUCACCACUCUCAUUAAUAUUGUUUAACCAAUGUAAUAUCAUUUUCAUAUAUUUUUCAAUAAAAGUACUCUUCAUAGAAACAAUGAGCGCUAAAUUUAAUUAAUUAAUAUUACUUAAGGAAAUAUUUCUAUUUGAUUAAAAGAGGGUGAUAAUAUCUAUUCAUUAUCAUAGCCUUAACUACCCAUGAUACCGUUUUGAUAGUUUUUUUUUUUUCUUCUUCCUUGAAGUUAGGAAGGAGAUAUGCGUUCCCACACACACAACUAAUAUGUCAUGAGAAUUUGAACUUGAAAUCACUUGUCUACAAGUCAAUGUCAUUUUUCCCUAGCUUAAACCUUAUUGGCCGUUUUGAUAGUCUGAUAAGACAUAUCCCUUGUUUAUAAGUCUUAUAGCAAGAACAGGCGUUCACACUUUCUCUCGAAACUGAAAGAUUAUGAUUUGCCUUUACUAAUGAGGACGGCGUUAAUUAAUCUAUGACUAUACUUUGAUUAGUAUCUCAUGAUCUACCAAUAUGCAACUCAUGCACUAAAACAUUGAAGGUUUUGUGCAUCUAUAUGCAAGUGUGUUCAAGGAUUCAUGCAAAACUAAAUUUAGAAUGAUGAAAAAGAAAUUGAGUCAGAAAAUUAAGGGCAUAUAUAUAAAUACCGAAAUUCAUUCUAACAUGACACAAAGAAGCAAAAAUAUUUGUGCGAUUAAAAAACCUCAGUAGCUGAGUAUUUUCAAGAGAGAAGUAGCCAUUUGCAAAACAAGGGAGAAACAAGAUUAGUGAUUUCGGUCAGGCGAUUCGGGCUGCAGGUUUCCAUCAGAAUCAUAAUCAAUUUUCCCUGAAAAAUUCAGUGGAGCACAACGUUCUCCCAUAAUUAUGCUUUUCCUCCAAACUGCUUCAUCACUAUGAUCAUCAUCAUCAUCAUCUUUUUGAUCUUCUUCUCCUGCCUCCAUCUUCCUCCAAGAAACCAUCUUCGCCAUCGCCAGAGCUUUGCUACUAAUCUUGCUGUUUAACUUGGCAAUGAACUUUACAUCUUUCGACUCGGAGUUUGUGAUCGCUUCCUCCUUUUUCUCGUGUGAUUUUUUACUCUUGCGGGAAGUGCAGAGAAAUAUUACGAGAGAAAACAUGGAGAAAAAUACAAUGAGGGCGAAGAGAAAAUGUGAUUGGUGUUGAAACAAGUGGUGAGAGGCCAUGGAGAAGCUUGGAGCAAGAGGCCUUGCCAUGGCUACAAGGAGGAGAGGAGGGAUGGAUGAGGAAAUAAAAUUGGAGUUUAAUUUAUGAUUUGCAUGAGCUCUUAAAGAGUGCAGAAAGUGAUGAAAAUUAAUACAUACUCCGGUUGUCCCGGUGACAAAGUGGGGGCCAUCCGGGCUCCCCGUGUUAUACAAGGCUACAUGGACUUGACCUAUUGACUUAAGAGUCCCUCUUUACAAGGUUUUGGAGCCAUUGGCCUCUUCUGCAUCCAUAGGUCCAUUUAUACAAGGCGACAUGGACUUGACCUAUUGACUUAAGAGUACCUCUUUACAAGGUUUUGGAGCCAUUGGCCUCUUCUGCAUCCAUAGGUCCAUUUUGGCUUCUUUUAAAAAAUAUCUCUUCUUUUGUUUUUUUCAAAGUCUCUCUAAGUUAUAUACCCAUUCUUAGCACGAGUGAUAUAGAUAAAUCAUACAUCAUUUAAUUUAUAUAAACAAAUAAAAAAAAAUUCAAAAAAUGACAACUAACCCUAUUAAAUUACUUUAAUACUUUAUUGAGUAUUUUUUUUAUUUAAAAAUACCCUUCUUCUUUUUAUUAUUAUUAUUAUUUUUUUAUCUGGGCCUUACUUUGCUUUGGUUUGAAUAGGAAGGAAGAAGUUGGAUAGGCUUCUAAGCAAAACCAUAUUACCAAAUAAAAAUAUUGAAAGGAACAGUGGUGGGGAUGUACAUCUGCAACAUGUUAACUACAUAAAAUUUAUGUUAUUACCAGAUGAUUUUAUUAUAGUUCAUCAUCAUCUGCAUAUCAAUGUAGGAAAAUGUAGGGCACAAUGUUGGGUUGGGGUGGGGCAUGAGUUGCAAGACCAAAAAUGCCCAUGGCAGAUGUUGGCUUAUUAUCUUUCAAGAAUUCCAAAAAGAAGCUGCAGGUCAAUUACCAUUUGUUCUCACAUUGGAAUUUACGAAAAAUUCUAACAAAGUACAACUAGGAUAGGAGGAUCUUAUUUUCCAAACAUUUCAAAUAAAAGAACGGAAUAAAGUAUUGGAUUUCCAACCCCAGUUUAUAGGAUACGCGAGUUAUGCCAGUCGGUUAAGACAGUGAUUCUCCAGAAAAAUUAAAUUAAUUAUUGCUUGUAUUAAAAAAACGAAACACUAACUAUUAUACAUUGUCAUAUUGCUGGUAAUCAAUGUUAGAAAACAGAUAACAGAUAGAGAGCUAGAAUUUAGAAGAAAAUGAUGAGUUUCAAUACAGAUUAGGAAAUCAACUGUGUUGUUAUUAAUGAUAAGCAGAUUAAAACUGCAGACAUAGACAAAGCUUACACAUACAAACUAAGAUUAAGCAAAAGCAACCAAUUAACCAAAAAAAUUUGGAUUAAUUUUUGCAUCAAAUUGGAAUGGCAUU
rnacentral:lncRNA from 1 species